UAACCUGAACGUAGAAGUAGUCAUACAGCCGAAGGAGAUGAUAUUUGUCAGGGGACCAUGCUGAUUGAUAUACUUGAGAAGUUUGUUCUCAUCGAGGCUCAGGUCAACAAAUUCUUUGUUGUUCUCUAUGAUCUUUACAUAGACAUCAAUGCCUGUGUGAAGAUCAUUAUCCGAUUUUGAAGAACUGAAACUCCAUCAUGGUUCUUAUACUCUCUCUGAUUCUGUCACUAGACUGAUCAAGCCUCUCCACGGACAUUGCCAAUCUAUUGCUCUCUUUGAUCAGCAUAAACCUGGAAAGAAAAGACUAACUUAAGUAUACUCUCAUCUAGUUCCCUUUUGUGAAUUUAAUAACUAAUAAAUUUGAGAAGAAGUUCAGUAAUAUGUUUGUAACCUGACGACACCGACAUCGUUCGAAUCAUCACAUGUGAUGCAUGGGAAGGAAAAUACUCCCUCGCUACAGCUUCUUUAAACAUUUUGAGCAUGAAAUAUAACACAAUCCGUUGUUGGUUUGAAUUCCGCCCAUAUUGCCGGUGCCGAGAAACUCAGUUGAUUAUAAUAAAUGAGAGAAAAGUGACAAUCCGAUGGGUCAAUUUACAGUGUUUAGAAUUAACCUAACGUGCACACUACCACAAUCGAAUGGUAUGUCGAUGUAGCACUUUAGGAUCGAAUCCAUAGAGACCAAUGAUUACACUUUAUUUCUAUAGGAUCAAUAUCAAGCUAAAACAAUAUGGGGGUUUUUAAGUUGAUUUCGUAACAAGCAAAUAAGAGAUUGAUUUAACGUUUUUCAGAUGAUUAAGAAUGCUAGCCUAGGGUGGUUUGAUCGGGUGUUAAACAAGUGUGAGCCAAACAAUUAUUCAAGUUCAAUUAAGAGUAAGUAUAGAACUCGGAUCACUCAGGUUGAAUCAACCCACUCUCGUGGUAUUGAUUCCUUUGAAAAUCGGUCUUGAUGACUAAACUCUCGUUUGGAUCAAGACACGAUAGCAAGUUUUAGAGAUCAAGUCCGAUAUGUUCACAAUACACCCUAAUAUCUACUCUCGCUGACUAGGGAUGCAAUGCUCAUUCAUAACAGAUCUAUCAACCUAUUAAUACACGGUUAAUGAACAUGCUAAACCUAGGAUCUAACAUUAAGCGGCCAGUUUAAUGCAAGCAUUAAGAAUAGUUAUAAAUGAAGACAAUCAAGAGAUUCACUUAUCUAUGUUUAACUCAUGGAUCUAACACCCUAACACCCUAGACUAAGCAAGUGGAUUACUCAGCCAUGGACAGAGAAAACAUAGAGAUAACAGAUGAAUAAAACAUAUCUGAAUCAAUAAUAAAAAGCAAAGAGGGUUUAGAAAUCUUCUCCAAAGGAUGUAUAGAUUCUUCUUCCUUAACAAGAGUAUAAGUUUUCUCUCUCAAAAAUCUCUCACAAAAGUAACGUAGAAUGUCUAGAAUAAUAAGAAAAGAUAUAUUGCAGGUCUUUGGCGGCUGCAGGAGUAAAAGGGGGAAACCCAAGGUAAAAUCCCGAAAUAUUUGGAAACUUCUUUAAAAAUCUAUGCCGCUGGAGCAGGUACUCAGGUUGCUCCGCUCGACUGUUCUGCGUGAAAAUCACCAAAUUGCACUCUUUUUCUCCUUUUUUCCUCCAACUGGUUUAUCUCUCAUCCAAUGCAACUCCAGACCUGUAAUAACUCGAAAAGGACUAGAAAGACUCGAUAAAGACUUGAAAACCAAUUAGAAAACAUAUAUACAAGAUGUCAAAAACACCAUAUAUCACUUGUAUUUCAAAACUUGGGUUUAGUUUAUGAAAGAUUGGGGUUCACAUUGGAUUAAGGUUUAUAUUUCCAUGUAGGGUUUAGUGAUUAGUGGUUAGGAUUUAGUUUAUGAAAGAUUGGAGUUGACAUUGAAUUAGGGUUUAUAUUUUUGUGAUUAGUUGAUUUGGUUUAGUUUAUGUACGACUGGAAUUGACAUUGGGAUAAACAUUACCACCUUCCAUGAAGGUAUAGCCAUAUCAACAUUUGAAAAAUAUGUUAAGAUGAUCUUUAGAUUGCAAUUACAUUUUCACAUUUUCUAUUCAAUAUGCUCGUAGAAUGGAAAUACAUGUUUCUUGCAUUUCGAAAUUUGGGUUUAGUUUAUGAAAGUGAGAUUGACAUUUGAUUAAGGUUUAUAUUUCCAUGUAGGUUUAGUGAUUAGUGGCUAGGGUUUAGUUUAUGAAAGAUUAAGAUUGACAUUUUUGAGUAGGGUUUAUAUUUAUGUAUAUGGUUUAGUGAUUAGUUGAUAGGGUUUAGUUUAUGUACGUUUGGGGUUGACAUUGGGGUAAGCAUAACCACCUUCCACGAACGUAUAUCCAUAUCAACAUUUGAGAAAUAUGUUAAGAUGAUCCUUAGAUUGCAACUACAUUUUCACAUUUUCUAUUCUAUAUGCCUCAUAUAGAAUGGUAAUACAUCUUACUGGCAUUUUGAAAUUUGGAUUUACUUUAUGAAAAAUUAGGGUUGACGUUAGAUUAGGGUUUAUAUUUCCAUGUAGAGUUUAGUGAUUAGUUGAUAGGCUUUAGUUUAUACUUCAUGUUGGGUUAUUUCGUCGUAAGUUUAUUUUUAGAUUUUGAUAUUUGGAUUCAAGGUUUAUAUUUGGGUUAGAGUUUAGUGACUAGAGUUUAGGGUUUAGUAUUUAGAAGAUAAGGAGGUAUGGUUUAAGCCAACAUGAACUUCUUCAAUGCAAUUAUAGAUAUUUCAUAAUUUCACCAAUAUGUACUAUGUUAUUUAUUUUGUUCUAUUCUAUUUGGAUUUGGAUUUUAUAUUUGGGUUUAUGGUUUAUAUAAGGGUUUAGGGUUUAGUAUUUAGGGAUUUGGAUGGAUUGUGAUAAGGUUUAGUAUUUAAAUUUCAGAGGUUGAGAUAGUGAUGGUGACAGAUAUGGAAUAGAACAUUUAAACCUUUUAUUCUUUUACCUUCUUCAAUGUUUGUUCUCUUCAGAUGAAUUUACAAGGUUGGUAAAUGGAAUAAACCAUUUAUUCUAAACAUGUUUAUAUUUUACAGCACUUGUUUCACUGUCUACAGUAAAAAAAACAUUUUUUGAUAAAUAACAUAGUGAUGUGGCUAUUUCCUCUUCGUUCAUAUAUAAUAGUUUUGGCUUCAUCUGCACCACAAAAGAACAACAUCACCUAUUUUUUUACUUAUAAUGAGAAACCUGUUACGUAAAAGAGUAAAACCGGAUGAUUUAUGACUUAAAUACCUAACAUUGAAUUAUGUCAAAAUUAUUGUCAUUCACCUACUUCAUCUUCAAAAUAUGGCUACUACACAAAUAAACCCAAAAAUAUAUUAGGCGUUAGUAUAAAAGACAUUAUUCACUAUGACGCUUCUAUGCUAAUAUAGACAACAAUUAAACAAACUAAAUAAGAAGACAUGAACGUCGAAAAAUUGGCCGGCGGGUCAAAAAUUUUAAUAGUUUAGUCCCCAGACGCUGGCUGCCCUGUUGUGGUUGAGGUGGUGAUGAAUGACUUUGUUGGUGUUAAAAAUAUAGAAGAUUAUAUAAAAUGGUUAGUUUGUUAAUUAAAUAUUUAGAAAAUUAAGGUUCGUUAGUUUUUCGAAAGUAUAUGUAUAUAUAAUAUUCGAGCUAAAUAAUAAGAAUAAAUGAACAUAACAAAACAAACAGAAAAGCAUCUGAAAUUGAACAUAUAUAUGAACAAUGUUAGGUGGGGUGAUCAAUAAAGUUGAAUAUGAUAGGCCAAGAUAUCCUCGCUUAGUUAAAAUUGCACCAAUUUAAAUGCGUAAAGAUUUGGUGUGAAGACUUUGAACUUCACUCAUUUAUAGGAAACCUAUUAAUUGAUUGAUCACCAAACUCGUUUCUUGUUAUUUCGUUUCAUCACAUACGUCACUUCUUUCAUUUCAUCAAACGAGAAGUAGUCGCUUCUACGUUCUAACCAAAAAGACGAUCGGCAAUAAAAUAGUACGAGAACAAGCCAUUAUAGUGCUUUUAUGUAAAGCUUCCAGUUCACUGAAUUUGCUUGCUUUAGCCCGAACACACUUUCUAAGUCUUGAGACCAUUUGAAGCAAAUCCAUUCAAUCAGUUAUAAAAUAGGGUCACCGGGUUACGCACGUCUCGAUCUCUAACUAUUUUGCAAACCCGAUUUUAGGGAUUGGUAGAAGGGAAAGUAUCCUCAACACCAACCUUUGAUAUAUACGAUGAUUCCAAGAAUGAAAUUUUUAAAAACUCCUUACAGUUAUGACAGUGUCUGCCUAUAAAUGGAUAUGAAUGUAUAUUUUCGUUAUACAAUAUUGUAAAGUCGAUUUGUAUCUAUCUACCAAGAACAAUAACACUGGUAAAGUUUUAAUGAUAGGGAUGGUUAAGCAGUAGUUAGGGUAUAAUAAAAGCUCUAUCAUUUGUGGCAUGCAUGAUGCACAUAAAUUGAACAUGUAAUCUAUCAAAAAAUGUAUUUCGCCAUUGCGCAUUUGCGAUAUCUUAUAAUCAUAUUAUAUAUGUUUGAAAGACAAAAAAAAUUAAAGCACUUCCAUAAUACUCGAAUUAUGAUAAAUAUUUGCAGAACUGAUAAUGACAAGAAAAGCAAAACAAAGUUAAAAAUUACUUGUAAUUAGAAGCGUUCAAACAAAAUAUAAAUAUAUACUUUUGUUCGUACAGAGGUAGACGUAAUAUAUGAAGAUUUAUGAUAGGGUCUAACAAUUAAAGUCCCAGAGACAAUCUUCUUGAAGACAAGAAGUGAAAGGUCUAUUAAGAUCAAGAUUACCCAGACAAGAAGUAUCAGCCGAAACAUAAUCUCCCAGCACCUCGUCAGAUGAAACAAGAGACAUUACGUUUCCACAACCCAAACCAUCAAAGUCCAUCAAAUCAGAGAAGAGAUACUCAGACUGAAUUUUAUCAAAAUCGAUUUUAAGAUCUCCCAACAAUGAAGGAGAACCAGCUUGAUGAUCAAUCACGUUUUCCUUCACAGUAAGAAGACUGGUACUACCAAUACUACUCUGAUUCUGAAAUGUCAGAGCCUUUGGGAACCUAAUCGCCUUUGGACGUAUAACACAUACUUUAUUCAUGUUGUUGUUGUUGGAAUGUUUUCGACUUUUCUGUUGGUUGGUUUGAGAUUUUGGAAGUCUUUUGCGGAGGUUUGAGUUCCAGUGGUUCUUUAUUUCAUUGUCUGUUCGCCCUGGAAGCCUCCCAGCUAUCAACGACCAUCUGCUUUACGCCGCUAACUUUUUUUUAGAAAGGAAGAGAAUGUUAUGUAUUUUGGUGAAAGCAAACGUUAGUAACCUGUUUCCAAGGAGAUUAUGGAGGCGGAUUAUAAGUUCUUCUUCAUCAGAUGAGAUGUUUCCGCGCUUUAUGCCUGGUCUCAAGUAGUUCUUCCACCGAAGUCUGCAGCUUUUGCCACACCUCUUGAGACCUUUAUAUUUGCGGAAACAAUGAUUUUAAACAUAUUGAUAUAAUCUUACAAUCAUUAAAAAGAAAAAUAAAAGAUGCACGGAUAUGUACCAGCUUGGUUUGGGAGUGUGCUCCAUUUUCCUUCGCCGUGGAACAUGAUAUAGUCUUUAAGGAUCUUGUCUUCUUGAUCGGUCCAAGCUCCUCUGUUUAACUCCUCUUUCUUCACCUUACUACUUUCUCUCUUUCUCAUCAUCUCUCUUGUUGUUGUGUGGUUGGUAGACUUGUCUUUAGCGUUGUGUUAAGAAUAGAUUAUGUUCUGUGUUAAACUAAGUAUCUUUAUAGGGAGUUGUUGCAAUGUCCGUUACAUCAGUCGCUUUCCAAAACCUCUGUCACACACACACACUUUUUAGUUUCAAUGCUUUUCCCACUUCACACCAUGAUUUACUAGUCUAGUCUUACGUGCUAAGUCUCUAACUGUGUAGUUCCUAAACCGACCUUGAUCAUUAUCGUAUAACAAAUUAGGCAUGACUGUGAAUGAUUGGUGCAGUCUUAGUCGCAUUCUAGCUUGUAAGCAACCAUCUUCAGUCUUCACUGAAAAGUGGUAAGAGCAUCCUCAUUGCUAAUUGUUAAAAUUAAAUACUCUCAAACAAAAAUAAUAAAUUUUAUUUUAACAUAAUAUAACUAAUACUAUUUGAGGUCCAAAAAUAACUAACUAUUAAAAGAAAAAUAAAAUUAUGAAAAUAACUUUAUAUUUUCGUUUAUGUUACAAAAAUACCACUAUAGUUUAUAACAAUCCCUAAUAAUCCAUUUGAGGCAUUUUCAUCCUAUCAAUAUAUAUAUAUAUUUAUAAAAGGCAAUAAUCAAAAAGAUAUUCGUACAAGCUAUUCUAAGAUUACACUAAUAAAUUUUACUACAUCUUUUUGUGUCAAAUAUAUAUACAUAAUUAUAUUUAAUAGUAUUAUAGCUUUAUAUAAAUGUAAAUAACUAAAUACUCUUGUAAUGAAUAUUAAAUAAUUAUUAUACAUUUCUAUUACUUUAUUUUUAAUUAUACACAUAAAAGAAAAUUUAUAAUAUUAUAUACAAAAAAUUAUAGCAUUAUUAAAUUAUUAAUUAAAUAAUAAAUACACUUAAAUAACUUAAUCUAUUCAUUAAUUUGUAAAUUAUAAAAUUAAAUUAAAGUAACUUUACACACAAAAUAAAAAAAAAUUAGAAUUCAUAAUAUUAAGUCAAUGAUAAUCAUUUUAAUUUAAAUUAUUUAAAAUAUUAUAAAAGUAAAUAUUAAAUCAUUGAUAAUAAUUUAAUUUAAUAUUUUUAAAAAAUAUAUAUAUUCAAUAUUAAAUAAAUAUAUAUAUCAUACCAAUAUAUAUUUACUUGAUAAAAUUAGAAUAUUAAAGGAUUUAUUUACGCUUGAUAUUUGACCAAUACGCGACAUGUUAAAGGAUGUAUUACUCCGUCUCAAAUUUAAUAAAACUAAAACCAAUGAAAGACACAUAAAAUGAGUUAUUCUAUUUUUAUUAUUAUAUAGUUAUAUUUAUACAAAACUACAAUCAACCAUAUAAUAUUAAUUUAAGGAAAUUUUAGACGAACAUAUGUUAUUCCGUAAAACAAAUAUUGCAGCUCACCUCCAUAUCAAACUUAUAAUGAUUACUUUAUUUAAUAGAAUAUAUUUAAAAUUAUGAUAUUGCAUUAUAGUACUGAUUAGUUAAUAGCAUAACUAUAAAUAAUUAAUUUUUUUUACAAUUUGUAUAUAAAAUUACUCUUUCCAAAUCUAAAAUACGAAUAUGUAACAACUAAAAAUAAAACUAAAAAUAACAUUUCUCAUAAAUUAUGUUCAUCUAAUUUUUAAAUAUUUAAAUUAAUAUAAAUAGAAUAGAGAUUUUUUUUUUUAGAUUCAAAACUUAGUUUUAAGAAAUAAUAAAAAUAAUAAUGUACACAGACUUAAAUAAAAUAUAUAAAAAUAAAAUACAUAAAUUAUGUAUGCACUUAUAAUUUCUAUUAAAUAAAAUUUUGUAAGGAAAACUAAUUGUGCAAUUUAAAAUCUUGAAUCAAAAUCGGCAGGUGUUAUUGGUUUAUAUAUUUUGAUUGAUUUAGAAAUCCAUAUAAUAUUUAUAAAUCCAAGUAAAAUAUACAAAUCCGGAGGUUUUCCCUCGGAUUUGAGUCUUUGUAUUUUAACUAAAAAAUCCAAACAAAUCCAUUAUAAAAUCAAAUAUAUUAGUAAAUCUGUACGAUUGAAUAACACUUGAUUUGAUAUUGAAUUUAUGAAUUAUUAAACCAAUAACACAUGAUUUUAAUACAGAUUUUAAAAUCACAGAACCAAUAACACUAGAUUUAGUUUGGAUUUUCAAAUCCAUUAAAAUACGACAACCAAUAACCCCUACCAAGUUAUCUAAAUAAAUUUUAAGUCCAAGAAGAAAGAUAAGCGAAAAACGUAUGUCCAAAGGAGUUUUGUUCAGUUUCUUGAAAAUUUUCAAGUGAAAAACUCUUUCUUUCUUCUACUUUUACUUUUUAUUUUACUAUUUUAUUGGAAAGAUAUUUAUUGAGUUUCUACCGGUGGAUAUGUUCUAACACUUAUGACAGUUCAGUAAUUUCACAAUUGGAUCUAUCUUAAAACUCUGAUAUGUUCCAAAGGAGAAAUAUUUUUGUCAAGUGGAGCUUAGGUUAAAGCUCGCGUGACAUGACAAACUUCUUGGAUGUCUUAGAUUUUCACAAAAGUCUCUCUCUCGAGGUUUGAAAGUCUUUGGAAAUGACUACCUGAUAAAUCAAAUAGGGAAUUGUUAAGUUGCAUGUGCUUUUCAUAGAUUUCCAACUUAAAACUAUGGAUUGAUUCUAUCUUUUUAUAUAUUACUCCCUCCGCUUUUUAAUAUAAGUCGUUUUACAGCUAUUCACGUAGAUUAAGAAAACCAUUAAUUUCUUAUAUUUUCUAAACAAAAAUAUCAUUAAUUAUUUACCUAACCACAAUUCAACCAAUAGAAAAAUAGAAGAUAUAUUACUAUUGGUCAUACAACAUUAAUUAUUAAUAAAUUUUACAUAAAAAACCGAAAACGACAUAUAAUUUGGAACAAAAAAGUUUCUCUAAAACGACUUAUAAUAAAAAACGGAGGGAGUAGUUAAUUAUUUAUUCAAUUACCGAUGUGUGAUUUUCAUUCAUUCAUUAACAUUUUUUUUCACGUUCAGACAGAAAAUUUUGAGAAUAAUAUCCAUAGAUUGGUGCAAUAUCAGGUGGCUUUGACUUUGAUACCAUUGUUAAAUUAUUGCUUAUCAUGAGAUUCUAAAUUAAAAUUAUUUGGCGAUAAAUGGAUUGGUUCAAAUUUGUUAUAUAUUUUUGACGUGUUCUAUGUUAUAUUUUCGACGUGGAAUAUUUUCCGUAACACCCUCACUCCAAAUAAGCAUAUAAAUGUAAUCUAUUCAAGACGAGCAAAUAACAUAUAUUAUUCAUAUUCUAAAGCUAGAUUGACGACAAAAAAAGAAGAAGCUAGAUUUGCCAUUCUUCUUCAUAUUCAAUUAGUUUUACCCGUUGAAGACUAUUUGGUUCUAAAACAUUAAGAUAAAUCCUAGUUGAAGUAUAUUUUCCAUCGCCCAUAUCAGAGUUUUAAAUUUAACAGGAGGGUGACCCGAUCUUGUCCAAAAGAACCAAAGAAAUUACUGUCCUUCUUCCAGCUCUGUGACUACCUCCACGCUGAAAGUACUCUUAGCUCGUUCAAAAUGCAUCCAUUGAGAUCUUGGUUUCAGCGAAGCAUUUCAUUAGGUACAAGUAGUUCUCUUCAAGGUCCUCUCCCAUUUCCACAGAACUUGCAAAACUUCUCAUUCAUAAAUAGCGAGUUGAGUUGUAGUGUACCUAUUAGUAAUAAAUUUUUAUAGUUGAAAACUUCAGAUGGGAUAGCCGGAUCACCAAGUUUGCAAGACUUGUUGACAUUGGAGAAAGCAUCCUAAAUCAACUUCAGUGUCUUUAAAUAUAUGGCUUAAAGCACAAAUAGGAAUUGGGUUUGAAAUUACCCUUUUCUUUAGCUCAGAAUGCUAAAAUAUUAACCAUGAUCUUUUGAUAACCAAAUUCUUGAAAUUUUCAGGUUGUUUCUUACCUUGUUACUUGAAAGUUGAAAUGCUUUGAUUUUUUCAGUGCAGAAUGCUAGAAUAUUGUAAUUUAUAUAUAUAUAUAUAUAUAUAAACUCUGUGAGUUAUUGUAACGGUACAGAAUCAAGGUGAAGGUGAUGCUCGACACCCAAGGGAAAAUUUGGACCGCCGUUGCCUGCAGUUGUGUUCAUCUAUGCUCCAAGCAAGAUGUUAACCACACACCUGAUCCGGGAAGCUCUUCUAAAGGCCACAGCUUACCCUGAAAUCCCAGUGGCUUUAAGAAUCAUUUUUGCGUGUUUGGUGUACUACAGGGGAUGGUUCUCUCAUCUCUGUUGGGACAGUAUUAGUGACGAAUAUUUUUUUCUCAUAUUAUUCUAAUAUAUUAUAAGUUUUUAUAGGUAAAAUAAUAUAUUAUAAGUUCUGGAGAUAAAAAAUAUAUUCUUGAGACCAAUGGGGAAUUGUCAAUAUAAGAUAGAAGAAGAAUGCAAGAGUUUUUUUUUUUUUUGAAAAAGAAGAAUGCAAGAGUUCAUUAUUACAUGAAUUGACAAAUUAUUACCAUACUAUAAUGACAGACAGAUAUCUCUCGUCCUUAGCCUCUCUUAACAGGAUCAAAGUUGGAGACACCAACAACCACACCGAUAAUGACCGUGAGCACCAAUCCUCCCGAGGCAAUGCUAAGCAAGAAGUUCUUGAGAGAGGGAGAGAUUCCUGAGCCUGCGGCUUCAGCCACCUCAGGGAUCACCAUUGAAACGGUGAGAGCUGCUGCUGCUAAGCCGCUCACAGCCUUCUCCAUCUUCAGGUUAGAUGCAUUCACUUGAAACCUCCGUGAAGGCAUGGCUAAGGAGGAGGAUGACGCCUUAGAUGGCUUCAAAGGCAAUAGUGGCUUGCGUAAGGCUACAGUUUUUGUCGACGACGGCGAUCGGUUUUGGGUGAGUGGCAUGAACAAUGACACGGCGGAGGUAGAAGCCAUCUCUUUUUCUCUCCUCUUCUUUCUUUUCGAGUUUGUUUGGCAAUGUGAGUUUGGUCUAUGAGAAGAAACAUAAGAUAUGGGGUCAUAUGAGGAGUGGGAGAUAUGUGUCUUACGUGGCAGUUUCUGAGCUUGGAAGUCUGAUUCUUUAGAUAAGGUUAUCUUCAUUUUAAUUUGCUUUCGUUUCGAUUCUUUUUUUUUUUUUGUCUACUAUUAUUUUAUUGCCAACUGUUUUUUUUUUUGUAAAAAAAUAUUCUAUUGAAAUUGCAUGAGAAAUAAAAUGUUUUACUGUAUUAGCCCACAAGCCAAAUGACCAUACAUAUCUAGAAGAUACAAACUUGAAUCAGAAUUAGUGAGAAGAAGAUGUAGAAUCAGGUUGAGAAGGUUGAAAACCACAAUUGGAGAAGUGAGGAAGAGAACUUCGGUUUGUCAAUCCUUAGGCUGGAAGCUCUGUUUUUUAUAGUUUGCUUUAUCUGGUAAGACCAAACCAUCAGAAGAUGAGUAUUGAGCGUUGUGUAGACGGUUGUUCCUCUCUGUCCACAGUGUGUAAAGAGUCGCUUGCCAGCAUAGAAGAAGCAGAGUCUUGUGCACCUUGUUUGUGGAGUGUUGUUGAAGCUGGUGUAAGAUGGUUUGCCACUGCCUGGAAGAGUUGAAGCAGCACUUUAAAGCAACGGUUUUCCAAAUAUCCCAAGUGAAAUUGCAUUCAAAGAAGCAGUGGGCGAUGGACUCAUCCGAAACAUUAUUGUACAAACAUUAUUGUACAAACAUUAUCCUAUCUCCGGUGGGGCACCUGUUUCUCACCAUCAACCACACUAAGAACAUAUGCUUUGGGAUACCUCCCGAGAACCAUACCUCGCGAUGCCAUGAAACCGUAGGGGUAGAGGGGCGAAGCAGAUCAUAGAUCUUACCCGUUUGGAACCUCGGCUGCUUUUGAUCCCCAGGCCACCAUUCAGGUUCAUCACCGUAGUCAGUUAUGGACAAAGUAGUGAGAUAAGAGAUGACCUUUAGUUGUCUGUCUGAGCGUGCAUUUGGAACGACCCAUGCUCCAUUCUCACAUUGUUCAGCAAUAGUAGCAUUUUUGGUUACUGGAAGACGCAUUGCACCGACGGUUUGAAGGUAGUCAGAUAGCUUUCCAUAGGGAGACCAUUUGGUAGACCAAAAGUAAGUAGUUUCACUGUUUUGAACACGUUGCCUAAUCCAAGGGUAGAUGAUUUCCCUAGCAUCAAGUAGCUUGUUCACUAGCCAGGAGUGUUUCUGACUUGUGUUGAUCACCCAGAACAUUUGAAUAUUCCCGUCAAGGAUUUCAGCUCUAAACCAUGAUGACCAUAUUGAUUGAUUGGAGAAGAAAAGCAACCAAAUCAUUUUAAAUGCACAAGCCGUGUUCCAAGCAUCCAAGUUUCUCAGUAAUAAGCUCCCUUUAUCCUUAGCAAGACAACAGAUUUCCCAAGUAACAUUAGCAGAAGCAUUGGCUGUAAUAUCUCCAUUCCAGAGGAAUUUUGAGCACAGGGAAUCGAUUUCUCGAAUUACAGUCUUCGGGAUGAUGAAAGAGAUGGUCCAGAAGUUUGUGAUACCAUUUAUGACAGAGGUCACCAAUUGCAAUCUUCCAGCAUAGGUUAGCUUUUUUACCGUCCAAGAAGGCAGCUUAGCUUUAAUUGACUGGAUCAGGGGAGCACACUGAGCAAGAGAGAUCUUUUUUGUGUGCAGACGGACCCCUAAGUAACAAAUAGGUAGCACUCCAGGAGAAAGGCCCGUAUGCAAUUUAAUAUCCUACACUUCUGCAUCGGUCAUCCCAGCAGCAAAGAAGGAAGUUUUUUGAAUGCUGAUUGCUAGUCCUGAUCGUUCCUCAAAAUUUUUCAAAACACUUAGAAUGGCUAGGAUAUAGGAGAGGGAACCGCCAGAGAAGAUCAGUAGAUCAUCUGCGAACGACAGAUGGGUGAGCUUUGUUUUUCCACAGUGAGGGUGAUACUGAAAAGAACCUGUUGCUGCUGCUUUUUCCAGGGCUAGAGAUAGACAAUUUAUGACCAGAACAAAGAGGUAAGGGGAGAUAGGAUCACCCUGCCUCAGACCUAUUUUUCCUUUAAAAUAUCCAUAUGUAGAACCAUUGAAAGUCACAGAGAAGGAAGGCGUGCAUACACAAGCCUCCAGCCAUCGAAUCAAGGUCUCAGGUAUAUUGUAGCUCCUCAAACAAGCAAAUAAAACCUCCCAUUGGACAGUAUCAAAAGUUUUUGCAAUGUCGACCUUAAUGGUGAUCCUUUUUUGCCCUCAUUUCCUAUGUUACCCUUGAACAAUCUCCGAUGCCAAUAGAAUGUUCUCAAUCAACAACCUACCUUGAACAAACACAGUCUGAUUGGACAGGAUGAACUACAGUAGUAUGAGCUUUAAUCUCUUUACCAGCAGUGUCGAUAUUGUCUUAUAGGUUGUAUUACAACAAGAGAUUGGUCUGUAGUCCGCAACACAUGAAGCACCAGGUUUUUUAGGGACCAAAGUGAGAAUAGUAGCAUUGGUAGAUCGAGGAAGAAAGUAGGAGGUGAAGAAAUUUGAUAUAGCAUGCAGAAUCUCGCGCCCCACAAUAGACCAGGCAGAACCUCGCUCCCCACAAUAUUGCCUGCUGUUUCUUAUUGGUGAUCACAAAAACAAAAAGUACACUUUACCACUUAUUGCAUUUUAAAACAAAAAAAAAAACUAAAAGAAAACUGCCAGAAAAUUAGUCUGUAAUAGUUGUCAAAAAAAAAUCUUUUAUAUAUGGGAAAUUAGGUGAUAUAAUAACCAAACAAAAACCCAUAAUUCAUUAUAUAACCAAAAUCAUUCCUUUUUUCCUCUUCUCUCUUCCUAUCUCUCUCUACUCUCUUUCUACAAAACUAAUUAAAUUUUUUUUGGUUAUAUCACAAAUAAGCCUUUAAUAUAUCUCUUAAUAUUAUUUAAGAAACACUGCGACAUUUAAUUUAUAUCAUAUGUUAUCAUUAAAAUGAUUUUUAGAAUAUUUAGAAAAAUAAAAAAAUCAAUACGACUGAGUAUAUUACAACUUUACAACUGAGUUACGAAGAAAUUGUUGUUAAUAUGUUGUUAACUAACCACGAAUUUACGAUUGUUCAUUGUUAAUUUGUGGUCAACCACAUGUAUUAAGAGAUUCACGGUUUACGGUUUAGGGAUUCAAGGUAUGCUAGUGAAUUCGUCGUAAACCUGAAAAUUCAAGAUCGUGUUCAUUCGUCAUAAAAUAUAUUACCCGUGCAUUUGUCGUAAAUUGAAAAGUUGAAAACUCAUUCAUUUGUAGUCAAAUAUAUGAAUCAUUAAUUCAUUGUAAAUCGAAAACACGGUUCAUACUACAUUCGUUGUAAACAAAAAAUGCGGUUCCUACUAAAUUCAUCGUAAAUAAAAAAUACGGUUCCUACUAAAUUUAUCAUAAAAUAAACAUGGGACCUAGUGAGUUCGUCAUUAAUUUACAUCGAGGGAACAUUAUUUCUUAAAUAAGCCCAACCCGUUUCUCCCAACUCUUCGGCCAUUCUUAGCUUCCUAAGCUCUCUCCUUCCUGCGAAAAAUUAAAGGUUAGUUUUUUAUUAGUAAACUUUGGUUGUUGUUAGUUUUGUUAGAUUAGUCGAAUUAGCUUAGGUCCCAAGAAUUAGAUUAGGUUACGUACAAAAUACAUUACUUAACAUAAUUAGUUUAUAUAUGAUGACCAAUUUAAUUAUUUAUAACUAUUUUUUUUUAGAUGGCUCCUAGAGAGUGAGUAAGCAAGAAGAAUUGUCCACAUUAUAGUGAGACCUUCGGUACCGGAGAUAUAUUGGCUUAUAUUUCCUCCGCUUCUACUUCAGUUCCGGAGGCUCAGUCCCAGACAGCUCCACUACCACGAAUCCUAUAUUGCUCCCGGAGAUAUAUCGGGUUAUAGUUCCUCCGCUUCUACUUCAGUUCUGAAAGCUCAGUCUCACACAGCUCCACCACCACCCCUGAUUGUUCCCGGAGAUAUAUCGGGGUAUAGUUCCUCCGCUUCUACUUCAGUUGCGGAGACUCAGUCUCAGACAAGUCCACCACCACCACCACCCCUGAUUGCUCCCUCAGCGCCUCUGGUUCCUCCCGCUGUGCCUGUGCCUCACAUUGCUUCGGGUCUUCAUCCAGAUUUGAUGGUGCCAUCCAAAGCUCCGUACGCUCAAUAAACCGUCGUGGACCUUCGCCCAACCGGGACGAGAAGAUUUAUGUGUAUUGGAUCCCGAUCGACCGCCAAACACUCUGGUACGUUUUAAUUUGUUUUAGAUGAAUAAUUUUUUUUUUCAAGUUUUCUAGUACUUUUAUGUUAUUUUGCAGGUUUUGACUUGACGGUUAAGAGUCGAGAAGCAUUUCAAAUACAACUAAGAGAUAUUUCAUCGAGCUACAUUCCAGCUAGAAUCUCAUACCAGGACAUAUAUCCACACUACAAGGUUUAAAUGUUUUGCAGCAAAAACAUUUUUAAUAUUUAAUUUUAAAUAUAUAUUUUUCUAAAUAUACAUAAUUAUUUUUUAUUGUUUUGGCAGAAAGAAUGGAAUUGGUCUAUCGGCAUCAAAGAGCAUGUGAAAAAGGCGUUUAUCACCAAGGUGAAGAUAUGGUUAGCGAUGUUUAUUUUUUUCUUUUUUUGUUGAAAUGUUAAAUUUAUUUAUCAACAAAAAAAAAAGUUUACAAUACGGAAGUGUUUGAAAAAUCAGGAAACAAAGUUGGCUAAGAAGAAAAACGUGAAAUUACUCAUUCCUUCCCAUCCAACGAAUCAUCAGAGCACUGCACUUCUCUGCGCUCUUGUAACGUAGCGAGGAGCGAUUGCGUAUAGUCUUGUCUAUGAACCGCGUGAGCUGUUGAGCUGUACGGUAAACGCCUGUGUGUUUCCUGCUGUUCCGUUCCCUCCACACACUGUGUAUUACAGCUUGGAAGGAGAGCCGAAGAAAACAUGAGUCAAUAUUAGACCUGCGAGGCGAUAACAGCAUUGUAACUGUGAUGCCCCAGUCUGGGUUUGGUCUAGGCAGGAGAGAGCUUGUGAGCUCUGUCCAAAUCGUAUAUGAAUACGGACACACAAAAAAGAGAUGGUCGCGGGACUCGUUUGGCUCACCACACAAUCGACAUGACUGAUGCUCGCCCCAUAUUUGAGUAUGGUCACCAGUCGAGAGCCUAUUGCGGAUGGCCAGCCACGCGAUGAACGAGUCGCGAGGAACAGCGUGUGAGAACCAGAUUAGCUUGCUCCAUUCCACUGUGUCGCCUUGUCUUCUUAUCUGAUUCCAAGUGUUCUUCGAAGAGAACCAUGCUUUGUAGUCAUUCUCCCUGUGACGCCAGAGCAAACAGUCGCUGCCUGCCUCCUCUACCGGCGGUGGUACUGAGUUGAUGCGUGUAAUCAUCGCCCGUAGGUGAUUACUACGACACCGCCUUAAGUUCCACCUUCCAGACGAGGCAGCAGACGCAACUGUUGCAUAGCGUUGGAUGCCCAUGAUUAGAGUACCAGAGUCGCCUGCAACAUCAAUCAACUUACCUAUCUCCAACCAAUUAUCGAACCAGAAAAGAGUGUCUUUACCGUUGUGAAUUUCAGAUCGUAGAAAGGUUGCUGCCUGCUGCCGAAGCUUGAGGAGCUUGCGCCAUAUCCACGAUCCUGAUGAUUUAUCACUGACAUCCCAAAAGCAACGAUUCCGCAUUAGAUUUCUUCUGGUCCAAGCAACCCAAAAGGAACCUGAGUUUGUAAGUAGUCUCCAUAUUAGACAUAAAGUAAAAACCCUAGAUGAGUCUGCCAUACACCUGAUGCCAAGACCGCCUUCAUUCUUUGGUUUACAUACAUCCUCCCAUGAGACUUUUGCUCUGGUGGUGGAGUUCGGUGAUCCAGACCAUAGGAAGGCACUGCACAUGCUCUCGAUAGUUUCAAGACAUCGCUUUGGAAGGCGGAACACUGAACACCAGAAGUUAGCGAAUGUUAUUGCUAAAUGUAAAGAAUAAGAGUUUGUUAAAAUCAAAAUAUAAAAACUUAUGAAAAACAACAACAAGAUAUAUAUAUAUAUAUAUAUAUAUAUAACUCCAGUUGAUUCUCGGGUCGUUAUGUGUAAUGAUAAUGUUUUUGGAACGACAAUGUUUUUGCUUUAUAUACUGUAAAUGUACUUGUUUAGGAACGAGAAUUGGACAUAGAUAACGAAGCCUAACAGUGGUAGGGCGGCCUGCUCCGAGGAGUAAACUUCCCCGCACGCAAAGAAAGACGAUUCAAACAGUAAGCUACUCGUAGACUGCACCUACCUUCGCUCAAAGCCAGAAACAACCACUUUGACUUACACAAGCAACAAGGGUAAUGAUGACUCCCGAAACAUCUCCCUGACAUGGUCACUACGAGACGGAAGGAAAGAGGAGGAAGGAUCUAUAUAUAUGAGCAUCCAAUGAAGCAGAAAGGCAUCAUCACGAGUUCGAGAAAGAAAGUUAUUGACUACUUGUUUAUCAUUUCUUAUAUUUGUAGGCACCAAAUUUACUAGAUAGGCAUUUGAUGUAAAGCAAAAAUCUACAAAUAACAUGAACAAAAAAUACAACAAUAUAAUAAUACUGUAGUUGGAAAAGAACCAGAUUGAAGCAGAGUCGAGAUUAACAUCUCUUUCCUUAAUCCUUUAAACGCCCAUAGUGUGCCGGUUUCAUACGUUUAAGAAUCUCAGAAUACAACUGCCUAUAUCUUCAGUCUCAUAGCACUUGAGAACCAAAGCCUGUUGAACAUAUUUCUAUGUUAUACUCUUAGACAAAAAACAAAAAAGAAGUAGGAGACAGUAGCUUUGUUUGUAUUGGAUGAGUUUCUUUAGAAUGAGAAGAGCAUGGCUUAUAUAUAGAAUAUAAAGUUUAUCGUGUGCUACAAUGAGCACUAAAUGGAGAUGACAUUUUUUUAUUCCUUCGUAAUGACUAUUAAGAGGUGAUUGAUUUUCAUAUGUUACGAAAAUAAAUUCACACAAUCACCUUGACAUUGGUCAAAGAUUUAGUCAAGAAGUAAUGUAUGUCUUGGUCAAAAACAUGAGAAUCAUUCUCUACACCAAGAGAUAAUAUGCUUGCAUUAUUUAUUUAAAUAAUUAGCAUAUGAAUUUGGGCUAACAAGAUUAAUCUUAUUUUUAAUUCCAAAACUUGAUCUAGCUCGAGUAUCUCUUUUCUUAAUACACCAAAGUGUCUACAAAGUUUUUAUAACUUUGUUUUAGUUUUUCCAUUUAUAUAGAAGAGGUGACGACAAAAAAAAAACACAAGAGGAUUUCCACCUCAUAUUUCUAAUAUGAAUAUUUUAAAAAUAAUUUCAUAUUAGACUUUCAUUUCUCAUUCAAUCGAAAUUCGUUUUUGACAUAUGAUUACACUAUAUUAUAGUGCUCAUAACAAUGAAUCCAACGAUUCCACAAUCCGAUCAUUCCGCAAUCAAAUUGUUCGAAAAAAUCACUGGAAUAUUGGCCAUAGCUAUUUGUUCAAAAAACAGUUCCAACAAUAUUUCCUCUUCGGAAAAUAGUUUAAACACUUCAAUUUACAAAAUCUUCGACCCUCAAAUAUCUUUAUUUUUGUUUGAUUAGUCCCUAAACUAGAUUACUAGCCUUAGGAUUCAACAAUGACUGUGAAUGCUUGGUGAAAAUAGCCAUUCAUAGUUGCAUUCUAUCUUUGUAAGAAACCAUCUUCACUGGACUAAGUGGCAAGAGCAUCCUCAUUAUGAUUUGUUAAGAUACUCUCAAACAAAAUAAUACUAUUAUUUUAACGUAAUAUAACUAAUACCGUUAAAACAAAAACACAACUAUGAAAACAACUUUAUGUUACAGAAAAUGCCACUGUAUUUAUAAUAUUUCCUUACAAUUCAUUAAAGGCAUUUUCAUUCUAUUAAAAAAAAGAACUAUUUCUAAAAUGAAAUAACCAAAAAGAUAUUCAUAACAAUUUUUCUAAGUUUGCAAUAAUAGAUCUUACUUUAUUUUUUUUUGUUUCACAUAAAAAUAUAUAUAGUUAAAUUUAAUAGUAUUAAAGCUUUAAAAAUAUCUAAAUAACUAAAUAUUUUCGUAUUUAAUAUUAAAUUAUUAUUAUAUAUUAAUAUUAGUUUAAUUUCCAAUUAUACACAUGAAAUAAAAUUUAUAUUAUUUUAUAUAUAAUUAUAGCAUUAAUAAUUUAGUACAUCAGAUAAUAAAAACACUUAAAAUUUUAUCUUUUAAUUAUUUUAUAAAUAAUAAAAUUAAAUUAAAGUUACUGUUCACAUAAAAUAACAACAAAUUCAAAAUUUCUAUUAUUAAAUAAAUAAUUUUCAUUUAUAUUAUUUACAUAUUAUUAAAGUAAAUAUUAAAUCAAUGAUCAUAACUUAAUCUAACCAAUAUUUGUUUUUAAAUAGAUAUUAAAAUAAUAUUAGAUGCAUAUUAGAUGUAUAUAUAUAUAUAUAUAUUUACUUGAUAAAAAUAAUAUAUUAAAAGUUAACUGAUAUUUAUAGUGUUUGACGAUAUAGUCGAUUGGGUUACAGUUGAUAUUUUUAUAAUUAUAGAUUUUAAUGGUUUAUUUCAUCGAAUGUACAAUAUAUUAAUCAAAUACUAGACGGUUUCCACAAAUACUUAAACUCAUUUAAAAAGUUAUAAAACAAAUUUUUGCCAGUAUGCGACACGUUAAAAUAUUAAUUACUCCAUCUCAAUUUUAGUUUGUUAAAUAUUGAUGUUAGGAGUUUUCAAGGCUCCUAAGACAAAUGUUGUAGUAUAGAAGAUUAUCGAACCAGUUCUGAGGGAUAUCAAAGCACUGAGAAUGCAAGUACUCACUUAAUCUAAGUGCAACCAAUGAUUUAGAUGGGUUUUAAGCUAUGACUAAAACUAAAAAGCAAUAACAGAAUGAUACUUUCUUAACUAAGGGAAAAGAGAACUCAUGGGCAUAGGGAUUAGACCUUGGGUGAUCAAGUAUCGAACUAAAGAUGGCAAAUGAUCAAUCAAACUAUCAACCUUAAGCCUAGACACAAUUCUAAGCAAGCUCUAUGUCUAGAUGAAUGCUCAUUUGCUAACAUAUCUCAAACAUCAAAUGUCUUUGGUUGAAUAAUAUGAAAGCAAUCAUUACUAACAAGUCUAUUAGCUAUCUUAGCACCUUUAACAACAAAUGUCUUUGGCAAAGUAUACUAAAAGCCUAGGAGAAUUGUCUCAGGCAUUUCAUCAAACACCUUUUGGGUGGGAAAUGUCUAUUGAUCAACUUUUGAGUGGCCAACUCAGAAGAUGCAUUAUGAAUACUCUACUAGCAAGGAACAAGAAUGAUCUACACUAAAACAUCCUAGAACUAACCUAAUCACCCCUAAUCUCCCUAACCCAUGAGUUCAAAAGGUGAUUACUCACUAAUCUCCAUGAUUCCUCUUAAACCCAUAUUGGAUUUUAGAUUAACCAUGUAGAGAAAUAGAAAAUAAAUCAACAAGAACACAAGAUGAAAGCAAUGAAAUCUGAAUCAAAAGAGGUUUUUUUACUAGUUCUUCUCUAGAAAAGAGAUUAUUUUGCCUCCCUUGGCUUACAAAGUACUUAACUUAGGUUUAGAAAGUGUAAAACAUCAAAACAAAUGACCAAAAGGUCCCUGAAAAAUCAUAAGUUUCGUCCAAGCAAAACACGCGGAGGGACUUCGUGGUGUAGCUCCGAGACGUAGCUCUGGGUUGGGAGCUACCUUAUGGUGUCGCUCUGGAAGGUCCCUCCAGGCCUAUGUUUUGGCUUCCAAAGUGAUGAAAAGGCGAGUGACGUAGGGGUGUAGCUCUGGAAGGUCGCUCUGGGUUGGGAGCUACCUUAUGGUGUCGCUCUGGAAGGUCCCUCCGCGAUACUCGACCAGGAUGGAUAUGCCUCUAGUAAAUUGAUCAUAACUCCUUCAUUACAUCUCCAAAUGACUUGAAACCACUUCCAUUAGAAAGCUAACUCAAUUUUCUGUGUCUCCACAAAAUCUUAGCAACAGAAGAUUUCUCUAAAGGCUCCAUCCAUGCUCAUAUUUCACCUCCUUUUGGAUCACAAUGCUCCCAAACAUCUCAAAUCACUCCAUGGCACACUCCAACACCUAAUAAGGACAAUGAAUGCAAAAUGCAACCUAGACAUGGCUAAAUCCUAAUCUAUAUGAUGAAAAUGCUCAUGGAUGAAUGGAUAAAACAAUGUAAAUAUGCAAGAUAUCAACUCCCCCAAACUUGUUCUUUUACUUGUCCACAAGUGAACUUUCUAGAACUCAUAAGGAGAGAGGUUGAAGGUGGGAGCACAUAGCCAAAAGAAACACAACUAGCACACUCUCUUAUUACACUCUAGCUUCUCUAGGCCUAUCUCAACUCUUUUUGCUCUUACACUCAUCAUCAAGCAUCCACACAUUCAAAUCAACCAACUCUCACAUUCAUUAAGCACAAAACAUUAGGUGAAUUCUUGCAAAUGGUCAGUUGGUCCAAAUCAUUUGGUUGGGUAAGAGAAGGUUUUUAUUCAAGUGAUUCAAGAGGUUCAAAACAUAUGAUCUUUAAGGUGGUUUACUCUCGAAACAAGUAGACUUGACAUUGCACAUAAUAUAUCUAAGAAAGGGAUCAACUCAUGCUUACAAUGCUCAAUCUCCAUUGUUCUACCCUUUUCCCAAACAUACAAUUACACAAUCAUUCCCAAAUGUCAAACCCAACUCUCAUCUCUCACCAAAAGAUCCUAAGAACUUUAACUCCUUCUCCUUGAAAUCUACAAGGGAUUUUUUUCAGAACCUCAAAAUAUUUCUUAGCUCCUAACAACUUUGCUAGCCCCUUUUUCUUUUCUUUUUUUCUUUUUCUUUUCUCUUUUUUUUCGUUUUUUUUUUUCUUUUUCCUUUUUUUUUUUUAUUUUUUUAGGCUGGGGGCCAAGACUUUCAAAACUUGAGCUAGAGGCUUCUCUACUUAUCCCAAUAAAACAAUUCACUUAAGCACAAAGAGUCUAUUCUUUUCCUUUUUCAUUUCUCCCAAAUCAUAAUCACAACACUCACCCCCCACCUAUAGCUAGACAAUAGAGUGCCCAAUCUAGCAAGAAUGAAGAUCAAGCAUUGUCGUUCCCGAUACUCUCAACAUUAUGCACAUGUAAGACUUUCCGAAAAAGGCCUCACUCAUCAAACAAUGAAAGCUUAAAAGGAGGGAAAGGUUUUGGGAGUGGUCUACCACUAGAGUUUGUCAAAAAAGAUUGACAUAAAAGAUGUGACAACUCAAGUGUGUAUAGCCAUGACUCAGUACACAAGGGACCAUGAGCAAGAAGCAUUAAGUUCGUUCAGUUCAAAUAAGGUUGUAGUUGGCUUCAAAGACUGAGUUUCAGCAAUCAACAAGUUUCAGGAAGAGUUUUCAAGGCUCGAAACAUACAAGUCUUUUUGAGAGGUGCAAAAGCUACUCAGGUGCAACGUAGUGUUCUUUACAAGGCAUUUAAAAUCAUUGCUCCCAAUGCAUGUGAAUGCAACCUAUAUGCUCUAGACUCUCCUAGAAAUGCAAAUGAUGCAAACUAAAUGAUUGAUUUUUUUUUUUUUAUAUGCAAAUAGGUAUGCAAUGCAUGACUCAAUGAAACAACAUCAAAGCAAACAUGAUCAAAUACUUGGUACCUCCCCCAAACUUGAGUUACACAGUCUCUGUGUUGUCAAGUAGAGAGAGAGAUACCGAAAAGAAGACUAAUAUGCAAAAAUAAAAUGGUAUAUACAGGGGAGUGUGAUGGGUUACCUUCUAUGGGGAAUGAGUAGAGGGAGAUGAUCCCUCCUCGUCGUCCUCAGGUGGUAACUCUUCAAGGUGCUCAUCAGCAGGAGUGUCCAUCUCUUCAAUGUAGAAGGCUUGCCCGAACACAGUUGGUUUCCUCAUUUUCCUCUUGAUGUCAAAGUGGAGGAUGUUCUCUUUACCCAAAUGGAGAUCAAUCGUGCCUUCCUUCACAUUAACAAUAGCUCCUGCUGUAGCUAAGAAUGGUCUUCCUAGAAUCAAUGGAUCUUGAGCCUCCUCACCCAUCUCAAGCACCACAAAAUCUGUAGGUAUCUCAUACCUUCCAAUCUUCACAGGGAGGUCCUCUAAGAUGCCCACAGGAUACUUCACUGAACGAUCAGCUAACACCAGAGAGAGUCUACACUUCUUGAACUGGGUGAAUCCAAGCUUCUUUGCAACAGACAAAGGCAUCAAGCUGACACUAGCUCCCAAAUCGCAGAGACUUUUCUCAAAUACCAUAGGUCCAAGAGCACAAGGUAGUGUGAAGCUUCCUGGAUCCUCUAAUUUCUCUGAAGCAUCAAGCCUCUGGAUGAUGGCAUUGCACUCAUGGGUAAGAAUCAUCAUGCCUUCCAUCUCCUUCUUCUUUGCAGCUACAGCAUCUUUCAAGAACUUGCUGUAUUGAGGAAUCAACAUAAAAGCAUCGAUGAUGGGCAUUGCAACCUGAGCUUCACUCAUUUGCUUCUCAAACAGAGCUUUGUAUUUCUCUAGCAGCUGCCUCUUGAAUCUACCAGGGAAUGGUAGUUUGGGUUCAUAGGGAGGAGGAACAAAAGAACUUUCACUUGCUGGAGUAACAACUUCACCAUCUUUUACUGUCUUCUUCUCUUCCCCAACCUUUCCUUUACCUUUGGCUUCUACUAUCUUUUCCAAGAUCUCGUCAUUGAUCUUCUCAUCAACAAUCACCACUUCAUCAUCUAUGUUGAUGGCAACCCCCUCACCUAGUUUCUCAGCAUCCUUGGUGAGGGUUUUAGGAGGUAACUGUUUACCACUCCUAAGGGUGAUAGCUUUGGCCUCCUUGGGGUUUUGGUCAGACUUUCCAGGUAGAGAUCCUUGCUGGCGAUUCUGGUGAGUGUUCAUGGAAGCAAACUGAUUCUCUAAAUUCCUGACUGUAGAAGCAAGGUGAGAGAAUUUGUUGUUGAGCUCAUUGUAGCUCCCAUCAAUCUUGGUAUGAAGGUUCUUCAACUCAUAACCAACAUGCUUCUCACUUCUAGUCUGAGACUCCAAGAUUUGUUUCAGUAAGGUAUCAGUGCUGCUCUCUUGAGGAGCAGAGGAGCCAGACGAGGGGUUUUGCUGAGGCUGAUAGCUGCCUUGCUGGUUGUUUCUAGGCGGAUAACCACUCUGUUGGUUGUUGGGAUAGGAUUUCUGUUGGUAGUUGUUGUACUGAAAGUUGGGCUCCUUUUUGUACCAGCUACCAUUGUUGUUGAUGAAGCACAACUCUUCCUGACCUUCCAAACCCUCAACCUCAUUGACAGCAAGUGGAUCUUCCUGCCUGGAGUUACCAACAAACUUCAGCUGCUCUUGGGUGGCUUUUUCAGCAAUGAGAAGGUCGAUCUUGUCUUCCAAAGCUUUGAUCUCUUUCCUCGUCUGCUUAUCAUCUGUUCUACUGCCUCUGUCGUGGUCUCCACUGUAGACUGCAUCACUCUUUACCAUGUUGUCAACCAGCUCUUCUGCAUCCUCCUCAGUUCUCCCCAAGAAAAACCCAUUGCUAGCUGUAUCCAGUCUAGCUCUGUACUUAGGAAGAGCACCACGGUAGAAUGUGCUCAGCAAGCUCUCCUUAGAAAAGCCAUGGUGUGGGCAUUGAGCUUGGUAGCCCUUGAAUCUCUCCCAGGCUUCACUGAAGCCUUCCAAGUUCUUCUGUUGAAAGCUGGAAAUCUCGUUUCUCAGCUUAGCAGUUCUUGAAGUAGAGAAGAACUUCUCCAAGAAUGCUUUCUUGCAGUCAUCCCAAGUGGUGAUGGAGUCGCUGGGUAGAGACUUCUCCCACUGACGUGCUUUAUCCCCCAAAGAGAAAGGGAAUAGCUUGAGCUUUAAGGCAUCUUCGGACACACCAUUGGUUUUUGACAACCCACAGUAGCUGUCGAACCUGUCCAAGUGAUCAAAUGGAUCCUCUAGAGCCAAGCCAUGAUACUUGUUGUUCUCGAUCACAUUGAGGAGUCCUGAUUUGAUCUCAAAGUUGUUGGCUGCUACAGCUGGUGCUCGGAUUCCCAAUCUAUGACCAUGAAUGUUGGGGCGGUCAUAAGUGCCAAUAGGUCGCGCUGCUCGCUGUUGGUUUUGAGGUAUGUCUCCCAUAUCAGUAUCCAAUCUCUGCAAGUGAGCCUGUUGCUCUUCUUCUCUUCUAUUUCUAGCACACUCUCUCUCUAAAGCUCUGAUGUCUGCAGCUAUUGGAACUAGGUUUGAUGGACCCCUGCUCCUCAAGUUCAUACACCUGUAGAUUAAAGGGAGGUGAAGAAGAAUCAGUAACAAAAUAAAAUAAAAAUGACUUAGUCUCAAGCAAGUGACUAAAUCUCAAUGUUCAAAUCUACUCAGAAUUUGGCAACGGCGCCAAUUUGAUGUUAGGAGUUUUCAAGGCUCCUAAGACAAAUGUUGUAGUAUAGAAGAUUAUCGAACCAGUUCUGAGGGAUAUCAAAGCACUGAGAAUGCAAGUACUCACUUAAUCUAAGUGCAACCAAUGAUUUAGAUGGGUUUUAAGCUAUGACUAAAACUAAAAAGCAAUAACAGAAUGAUACUUUCUUAACUAAGGGAAAAGAGAACUCAUGGGCAUAGGGAUUAGACCUUGGGUGAUCAAGUAUCGAACUAAAGAUGGCAAAUGAUCAAUCAAACUAUCAACCUUAAGCCUAGACACAAUUCUAAGCAAGCUCUAUGUCUAGAUGAAUGCUCAUUUGCUAACAUAUCUCAAACAUCAAAUGUCUUUGGUUGAAUAAUAUGAAAGCAAUCAUUACUAACAAGUCUAUUAGCUAUCUUAGCACCUUUAACAACAAAUGUCUUUGGCAAAGUAUACUAAAAGCCUAGGAGAAUUGUCUCAGGCAUUUCAUCAAACACCUUUUGGGUGGGAAAUGUCUAUUGAUCAACUUUUGAGUGGCCAACUCAGAAGAUGCAUUAUGAAUACUCUACUAGCAAGGAACAAGAAUGAUCUACACUAAAACAUCCUAGAACUAACCUAAUCACCCCUAAUCUCCCUAACCCAUGAGUUCAAAAGGUGAUUACUCACUAAUCUCCAUGAUUCCUCUUAAACCCAUAUUGGAUUUUAGAUUAACCAUGUAGAGAAAUAGAAAAUAAAUCAACAAGAACACAAGAUGAAAGCAAUGAAAUCUGAAUCAAAAGAGGUUUUUUUACUAGUUCUUCUCUAGAAAAGAGAUUAUUUUGCCUCCCUUGGCUUACAAAGUACUUAACUUAGGUUUAGAAAGUGUAAAACAUCAAAACAAAUGACCAAAAGGUCCCUGAAAAAUCAUAAGUUUCGUCCAAGCAAAACACGCGGAGGGACUUCGUGGUGUAGCUCCGAGACGUAGCUCUGGGUUGGGAGCUACCUUAUGGUGUCGCUCUGGAAGGUCCCUCCAGGCCUAUGUUUUGGCUUCCAAAGUGAUGAAAAGGCGAGUGACGUAGGGGUGUAGCUCUGGAAGGUCGCUCUGGGUUGGGAGCUACCUUAUGGUGUCGCUCUGGAAGGUCCCUCCGCGAUACUCGACCAGGAUGGAUAUGCCUCUAGUAAAUUGAUCAUAACUCCUUCAUUACAUCUCCAAAUGACUUGAAACCACUUCCAUUAGAAAGCUAACUCAAUUUUCUGUGUCUCCACAAAAUCUUAGCAACAGAAGAUUUCUCUAAAGGCUCCAUCCAUGCUCAUAUUUCACCUCCUUUUGGAUCACAAUGCUCCCAAACAUCUCAAAUCACUCCAUGGCACACUCCAACACCUAAUAAGGACAAUGAAUGCAAAAUGCAACCUAGACAUGGCUAAAUCCUAAUCUAUAUGAUGAAAAUGCUCAUGGAUGAAUGGAUAAAACAAUGUAAAUAUGCAAGAUAUCAAAUAUAAAACUAAAAACAAAUUCAAGACACAUAAAAAGAAAUAUUGUGUUUGAUUAAUAUAUAGUUAUAUCUAAAUACAACUUUAACAUGAUUUCUGUAAAGCAAAAUAUUUUAAAUCAACUUAAAUAUACUAAACUUAUAAUGAUUACUUUAUUUAAAAUAAAAUAUUUUUUUAAAAUUAUGAUAUUGCGUUAUAGUACUGAUUAGUUAAUAGAAUAACUAUGAAAAUUAAUAUGUUAUCUAAUUAUGUUUUACAAAUAUAAAAUAUGAAUAUGUUAACAUCUCAAAUUAAGGCUUUUGUUUUAUUUAACAGAUUUAAUAAAAUUAUGCACAUGUAAUAAACCAAAAAUGAAAUUUCAUCUAAUUUUUAAAUAUUUAAAGUAAGGAAAUCAAGAUAGAAUAAUGAUUAUAACGUUUCUUAAAAUUCAAUAUUUAGCUUUAAGAAGUACUCCAAAUAAAUAAUAUACAUAAAUAUAAAUAAUUUUUUAAACAAAAAUAAUUCCAAACUUCGAAAGGAUCAAAAUCUAAUUAUCUUAUUAAACUUUAAGUUAUAGAAGAAAGAUAAUUCAAUUAAUGAAAAACAUAUGUCUAGGAGAAUUUUCUUGAGUUUCUUGACAAGUUUCAAAUGAAAAACUCUUAUCUCCCCCUCCCCUCUUACUUUUACUUUUUAUUUCAUUAUUUUAUUGGUAAGAUAUUCAUUGGGGGUUCUAUCUGUGGAUAUGUUCUAAUACUACGAGAGUUCGAUCAUUUCACAAAUUUUCAGGAAAAAAAAACAAGUUACAUGAGGCUUGCUUGGACCUUUGUUUGAGUGUUAGUUCAUAUUCAAAAGUUAAACCAAGGACACAUGCUGAACUUAUGAUUUUCGAAAACUCAGAACAUUUUUACUGAAUAAAUCAGAGUACUAAUGAUUUCAAAUGAAUGAUGGAAUGAGAUUCUACGUUGAUGUAUGAUCAAAGAGGGAGAUUAAGACAUGUUAGUUAUUACAGGUCAAGUGGAGCUUAGGUUAAACCUCACUGGGCGUGACAUGACAAAUGUCCAAGACGUCUUAGAUUUUCACUUAAAUCUCUCUCGAGCUGUUUGAAAGUCUUUGGAAAUGGACUACCUGGUAUAUCAAAUAUCUUAGAUAAGUGGUAAUUGUUAAGUUUCAUGUGCUUAUAUGGAUUUCCAACAUAAAUUUAAUGGCGAUAACUAGAUUGAUUCUAUCUCUAUAUAUUGGUUAACUAUUUAUCCAAUUACCAGGUGUGACUUUUAUUCAUUUACUAGAUUAAGAUCUGCACCUUGCGCAGGAUGAACAUUAUAUAUAAAAAUUAUUUUAUAUAUUAUAUGUUUAUAACAUAUUAUGAAAUAAUAAAUAUAUAUUGAAUAAUUAAAAAGUCAUUAUCUACUACUUAUAUAAUUAAAUUGGCGCGAACAUAUAAAUAAAAUUUAUAAAUCGAAAAAAUAUUUUUUCUAUUUGAUAUGAUAUAUAAUUAAAUUUAAAUGAUAAUAACAUAUAUAUGGUAUAUUUUAAUAUUAAUAUUUAUUAGAUGAUGCUUUUUGUUCAUAUUUUUUUUAUCAUUUGUAUCUUUUAUAGCAAAAAGUCUAAAUUAGUGAUAACAAAAUUUUCACUGUGGGAUUAAUUGUUUAAGUAAUUUAUAAUAUUUUAAAAAAUUAAGUUGUCAAUACUUUAUCAAAAAAAUAUUCAAAGUAAAUUUCAAAAUUAAGAUAUUCAUGUAUUUUUAUAUGGCAUAUAGUUUAAUUUUAAAUGAUACAUAUAUUUAUAUAUCUUUUAUUUUUGAUACUUAUUAAAUGAGACUUUAAACUUAUAUUAUUUUUUAAUUAUUUGUAUCAUGUCAUAGCAAAAAUUUUAAAUCAUAGAUCAGAAAAUUUGAAUGUAAAACUUCUAUUAGUUUUAGUAAUUUAUACUCAUUUUUUAAAAUUCAAAAUAUAAUAUAUAAAUAAUUUUUAAAUUUUUUAUUAUAUGGUUACUAUGAUUGUUUAAUUUAUUUUAAUAGCUUAAAAUUAAACAAAUAUAACUAUAAUUCACACUUAUUUUUAUCGAAUCUUUAUUAUUCAAAUUCAUUAAUUGUCAUAUAUACUUUAGCCACAUUAGGCAAUUCCAUAAUCUUAUUUAAGGAAAUAAUGAAGCACAUUAAUAAUGUAUUUACUGUGGUUUAAUAAAAAAACUUAUUAUAUAUUUAGGUGAAUCAACCUAUUUCUCUAAGGAUUCUAAGAAUCAUUAUAGUGAUGACAUGUGGCUACAAAAAAAAUGUUGCAAUGCUUUUCAAAUAAUAUAUAGAGGAUUAACAUUUUCUCUCACACAGACAAUUGAAGAAAUAAUAUGCAAAGCGUGGCCCAACAUUGUGUGACUCUGAUACCAUUUUAAAUUUAGGCUUAUUAUAAGUUUCUAAAUUAAAAUCAAUUGACGAUAAAUGAAUUGGUCUAAAUAUGUUAUAUAUUACUUAAAUUUCUUUUGUGAGAUAUUUUUGUAACACUCUCUCGUUCGAGAUAAUGAUUCGAUGACCUCCCAAAAUUACAAUGAGCAUAUAAAGUUAAUCUAUUCGAGGAACACAAAACAUAAAUUUAUAAAGGGAAGUUUACUAAAAUGACACAAAUUAGUUGUGUUAUUACUAGAAUGACUCAUUUUUUAAAAAAAUUAUUCAAAUAUUUUUUUGGUUGAAAUUGUCCUUGCCCAUAGUUAUAACAAAAAAACAUUACCAAAGUACCUUUAACAUUUGAUCGACGGCAGAUUUAUUUUCAAAAAUCAAAUAUGUCGAAUAAUAAAUUUGUUUAUAAAAUUUGUAUAGCAAAUCUACUGUUAAAGUGAUGACAAACCUUUUUAGAAAUGUCAGAUUUGUUUCCACGACAGAGUUAAUUGUCCGAUUUAAAUAGAAACAAAUUUUUAAGAAUAUGUUUGUAGAAUGAGGUGGCAGACUUGUUAUAAAUGGUAGAUUUUUGUGGUUGACUUUUUUCUUAUGUUAGACUUAUUUUCUUACGGGAAAGUUAUAUAUCCGACUUAAAAUUGUUAGUAGACUUUUUGUUUAUGUGGUGACAGACUUUUUAAUUUAUGUUGUGGCAGAUUUAUUGACGAAAAUCUGGGUUUACGUAAACCAAACUUAAUUUAAUGUUCAAUUUCGACCCGGUUUACAUUAAUUUCAAAUCUAAUUUAUUUUCAGGAUAAUUAAGAUCAGAAUCAGGUAAAUUUCCGAUAACUGUCAUCAGCUCUUUCAUCCUAUAUUUUAUUCCUUAUCAAGUUGUCCUUUUCAUUUGGUUUAAUCACUGGGACGUAUGAUCUUCAUGACUUGUUCGAUGUCAAAAUUGACAACCUUAGUGGUUCAUGCCGUUCUUCUGGCUCACCAUUGAGAUAAGUUGAGAACAUAACCAAAUUAAGUCAAAUCCCAAGAGUUGAUUUGGUUCAUACUCUUGUCUUUCUGGUGGACGAAAGAAUCGUUCUAAGUUAACGGAAGUGGCCAAAUACAAAUAGAAAGUAACAUCUCUUCUACCAGUGUAGAAAAUAAAUCAGUGAUGAGAACAACUUCAAAAUAAAACAUGUUUAUUUAUUUUUUUUUAUUUUUUUGACGUCAAAAGGUCAUUCUAUUACUCAAACUUGAGGUGGUCUGGGUAACUAAACCGGAAUAGAACAACCAAUAAAAAGCAAAUUCCUAUGGAAAGAUCUAGCAGUUUUAGCUAAAAAAUCAGAAGUAUGAUUGCGUGCCCGUGGAACAUGAGUGAUUUUGAAGUCUGGAAAGCAUAUCUGUAACGUUUCUAUCCUCUCCAAUUCCGUCGCAAAGCUUGAGCUUGGGGGUCCUUUAUCAUUGCAAUAAGUUCCUUACAAUCUGUCCCGAAGCUCUGACAUGUUGAAUGUUGAAGCAUGUUCUCCAUCGCCCAUCGCAGUGCUUCUACUUCCGAAUGCAAAGCUGAUUCACGUCGCGGAAAUUUUUUUGUCCCCAUAAGUUGAAUGUUCCCAGCAUUGUCCAUCCAUACCCAUCCACAUCCACUAAAGUGAGCCAAUGGUGUUCAAGAUCCAUCUAGCAAGCAAAUAUUACCCAAGCUUAUGGCUUGGAGUUUUUCAGGAUUAUUUUCUUGUACCACUGGUUGUAUCGCUUCAUUGGCAUCAAACCAGGCUUGACAUUCACUUUCAGCAUGUCGAACUAGAUCCAAAGGAUCUCUAUCUAUUCCCCUGAAAAGCUUUUCAUUCCUUGCCUUCCAGAUAUACCAAAUUAUCUAGGGAUAAGGAUCCCUAUCUUGCUCUGGCACAAUAAUGUUGUUUUUCCUCCAGAAUAGAUGUCCAUAUUUGUGUAGACACUUGAUACCGGAAAAAUAUUUGUGGUUGUUGGAGUUGAUGAUAGAGACCAAACUUGGAGAGCUGGUGGACAUUCGAAAAUUGCAUGGGUUACAGUCUCUUCCAUUUCUCCACAUCUUGGGCAGUAGUUGUCACACCUCAUAUUGCGCCUUCUUAAGUUCCUCGUUACUGUCACAUGACCAGUUAACAAUUGCCAUAUAAGAUGACAUAUCUUCGUAGGCGCUUUUUAAGUUCCACGCAAAAGCUUGAAGCUUUGUGAUACUUGGCUCCAAAACUUCUUUUUCGUCCGCUAUCUUUAAUAAAUUCCGAGCCACCCAAUAUCCAGAUUUGACCGUGUAUUGGCCAUUCCUUGUAUAGUUCCAGCAGAAUGUAUCACGACGAUGAGCUGACCUUAUGGCCAAACUCCUUAUGAGUGGUACGUCCUCAGGAUUAACAUAGUUUUCCAAUAGAUUAACAUCCCAAUCCUUCGAUCCCUGAUUAAUGAGGUCGCUGACUCUCAUAUUAGGAUGCAUAACUGGUGCUAGGAGGACAGCUGGUCGCGCCGGAGUUGUUGGAAUCCACGGAUCCUCCCACACCUUAACUUCAUAACCCGAAUGUAUCUUCUGUCUGAUUUCCAGUAGUAGCAGCUUCCUUGCAGCAGAAAUGCUAGUCCACACAUAGGAUGGGCUACCAGCAGUGUUUACUCUUAAUGGAGAGCUCAAUCUAUAGUAUCUUUCCUUUACGACUCGGGCUACCAAAGAAUCAGGAAAUUGUACUAGUUUCCAUAGUUGUUUUGCCAAUAAUGCCAGAUUAAACUCAUGGAUCAUACGGAAACCAAUCCCACGCUCCUCUCUUGGUAAGCAAACUUUUUCCCAUUUCGCCCAGUGUAUUCCUCUCUUUGGUGGAUUAGAACUCCGCCAGAAUUGAGCGAUGGCACUGGCUAGGUUUUCACAUAUCUUUAAAGGGAGCAGGAAAGUAGACAUAAAGUAUGUCGGAAGAGCGAGCAAAAUGGACUUAAUCAGCACUUUCUUUCCACCUUUUGAUAGCCAUCUACCUGUCCAUCCAUUCACUCUAUGCAUCAACUUGUCCUUUAGAAAAGCAAAAAGUCUGCAUUUAGAUCCACUUAUGUCUUCGGGGAUGCCUAGGUAAGUUCCCAUUCCUCCUUCAUUCUGUAUUCCAAGUGCAUCUUUAAUAUCUUGUCUACUAGUUGCAUUAAUCAGUUUACCAAAGAGUAAGGAUGAUUUAUCAAAAUUGAUACAUUGAACUGAUGCUUUGCCAUAUUUCCUGACUACUUUCAUUACUUCUUCACAUUCACGGGGCUCCGCCUUACAGAAGAAAAGGCUAUCAUCAGCAAAGAGAAGGUGGGAUACCGACGGACACGCGCGUUUGACGCGCAUCCUUGUUAUCUUCCCUUGAUUCUCUGCAUGAUUAAGAAGGCUAGCGAGCGCUUCCGUGCAUAGAAUAAAAAUGAAAGGAGAAAAAGGAUCUCCUUGACGUAGGCCUCUACCUGGAAUAAUAUUUCCUCUUGGCUCUCCAUUCAUGAGAACCUUAUAUUUUACCGAUGUAAUGCAUCGCAUUAUCCAGGUGAUCCAGAUUUCUGAGAAACCCAUCUUACGCAUGACAGCUUCAAUAAAAGAUCAUUCCAUCCUAUCAUAUGCUUUACUUAUGUCUGUUUUGAUGGCCAUCCUUUUAUUACGUCCACUUGGUUUAGUUCGCAGAGCGUGGAACAUUUCUUGAGCAAUCAUAAUAUUGUCUGAAAUCUGUCUCCCAGCAACAAAUGCUGACUGGGUUUCCGAUAUCAACCCUGGUAACACUUUCUUUAAUCUCUGGCAUAAGACCUUAGAGAUUAUCUUGUAGCUGACGUUGCACAAACUAAUGGGUCGAAACUGAGUCAUUUCAUUAGGCUUUGUUGUCUUUGGAAUGAGACAUAUGUUUGUAUCAUUCAGCCCAUUAGCCACCGUCCCCUCAAAAAGGAAUUUAUUAACCAUAAGAGUUAAAUCUUUCUUUACUAUGUCCCAAAAUUUUUGAUAGAAGAGCGCAGUCAUCCCAUCUGGUCUAGGGGCCUUUUCUGGAUGCAUUACAAAUAGCGCCAAUUUGACCUCCCAUUCAGUGACCAGAGCUAUAAGGUUGUCAUUCAUCGCAUCAGUGAUCGUCGAAGGAAUUUGUGCUAGUGCCUCUUCAAUGUCCUCUGGAUUUGAUGAUUCAAAGAUCUGCCUAAAGUAGCUAGUAGCAAUGGCUACCAAUCCUUCUUCAUCCUCAACAAUAUUUCCAUUCUCAUCUAAGAGUUGUGUGAUCUUAUUUCUUGCUCUUCUUUGCUUUGUCAAGGCAUUGAAAAUUUUUGUAUUUCUGUCUCCUUCUCUCAACCAAAACACCCGACUCUUCUGUUUUCAGAACAUUUCUUCUGCUUUAAGAGCAUCAGAGAGUUCCUUUAAAGCUGCUGCAAUUUCCUCAGUUGUAGCAUUAUCAUCUGCAUACAAGCCCUCCACUUUUUCUUUAAGCUCCUCCACUAAUUUUGCCGAAUUGACAUUAUGUUGCAUCCACCAUUCACUUAAGGCUUUCCUACAACUGGAAAUAUGUUCCAUAAUAGUCGCAUUGGGAGGAAGAUCAGGAGAUUUCCAUCCCUCAAUGAUAACUUGCCUUAACUCCUCAUUAUCCAGCCAUCUUUUAUCAAACUUGAACUUUUUUUAUCGUCUCAUUGGCUUUAUGAGUAUAUCUGCGAGAAUCGGACGAUGGUCUGUGUGGGAACCGAAAUUCGCACUGUCGAUUUCCGUUUAAAUAAGGAAACUAAGAAAACCCUAGUUUCCCAGAGGACCCGGAUAUCUGUUAAUUACCACACGUCAAGCAAUCAGAACACGAGAAUAACAACGAUAAAAAUAAGAAAUCGAAAAGAGAGCAAAAUAGAUCUUAUUCCGAAUCUGCGUAUGAGCGUUACAACAAGGUAUAAGCCUGGGCUCGAGAGCUGUCGGCGAGAUUCCUAGUUCUAGCAACCCUAAGACGGCUAAACCUAAUUGAGUCGCAGCUCGAAAUAACAAAAACGGAAAGUUGCCUAAAUCGCUCUAAGUGCUAAGUUUGCUCUGAAAAAAGUUCUCUUUUGUGCUCCUCGCCUAGGACUCCUUAUAUACUAGCUCCAAGGUCGGUUUACGCUUUUACUCUUCUGCCCUUAAGCCGUCAUAGCAUAAAAACGGAGAUAUUCCAUUUUUCCCGAUCUUCACAAUUAUCUUCAAAACUUCCGUAUUUAUCCGCGGAAACUUGACAUUUAUCCUUCUUCGCGGGCCAAGCGCGAACCAUGCUGUGGUUCACGGGCUUUUGGUUAGGAAAAAUCAUAGGAUGGGCCUCGAGUCGUGUUUUAGGUCCCUUUGGGCCGUCUUCCGACUCGACACGUUUACUACGAGUUUUCCGCGGUUUCUAAUCCGCGAAGUUUGAUCGAUGAAUUAGAAUGGCGGGAAACAUAGACUGAGCUUGCUACGGUCUUCGGGAGAUAGCAUUCGAAGGUUUGACGAGAAUGCAAGGACUGGUGUCGUAUCGAUGUUCGGAAAGGUUCAAUCGCUACACAGCGACCGAACUUUGGCUCGAGCCCGGUCGCUAUGUAGCGACCGAGCGAAACGAGUGCUCGGUCGCUACGUAGCGACCGAGCGGGACGAUCGCUCGGUCGCUACGUAGCGACCGAGCUUGGCUCGAGCUCGGUCGCUACGUAGCGACCGAGCGGGACGAUCGCUCGGUCGCUACGUAGCGACCGAGCUUGGCUGAGCUCGGUCGCUACGUAGCGACCGAGCGGGACGAUCGCUCGGUCGCUACGUAGCGACUGAGCUUUGGCUCGAGCUCGGUCGCUACGUAGCGACCGAGCGGGACGAUCGCUCGGUCGCUACGUAGCGACCGAGCUUGGCUGAGCUCGGUCGCUACGCAGCGACCGAGCGGGACGAUCGCUCGGUCGCUACGUAGCGACCGAGCUUUGGCUCGAGCUCGGUCGCUACGUAGCGACCGAGCGGGACGAUCGCUCGGUCGCUACGUAGCGACCGAGCUUUGGCUCGAGCUCGGUCGCUACGUAGCGACCGAGCGGGACGAGCGCUCGGUCGCUACGUAGCGACCGAGCGGGACGGACGUUCAAUCGCUGCGUAACGACCUGUUUCGAUCUUUCGUCGGACGUCUCGAUUCUGUCUUCCGCCAAGCUUUUUCGUAAGGAAGAAUCUAUUUCGAAAAGUACUCUUCGGAGAAACUCUUAUUUUCUUCCUCGAACGUUUUGAAUGUUUAAAUUUGUCGUAACCGUUUUUGACCCCAACAGUUAGCCCCCCAGCCCGUUAGAGUUGUGACUCUAGCGGGCGGAUAGAUGACUUUGACAAGGUUAAGUGUAUUGGAUGAAAUUUACAGUUAAAACUCCGCGGAAAAAAGUUGUCGAGGCGACAUUCCGAACUCAUACUUCUAUAAGUAGUGAGCUCUUGUCAUUCAUUCUUUCACACCUUUCCUCCUUCAUUUUCUUCAAAACCUCUCUAGUUUCAUAACUUUCCUUUCAACAUGUCUUCCUCCCAAGGUGAUAAGAAGGAUUCCGACGUCGAGAUGGGUGAGGCCACCUCUCUGGCUCCGGUUCCAACUUCUCCGGCGGAAGUGCCGGCUUGUGUUGCCGGUCAUCUUUCUUUCCGAGAGAAACUAGUUCGUCGCCAAGCCGAGAAAGAAUUGGCUCAGACUGGCUCCGAGUUCCCGUCUUCCUCCGCGCAGGUCGUUGCCCCGUGUCACGGGACCGGCUUCGCGGCUCUUCCCCCGCAAGUCCUACCUGCGGGAUCUUCCACGACUCCGAUCCUCGUCGAGGACAAAGAGAAGGCCGCUGACUCUAUGCCUCCGCCUCCAGCCAGAAAAGAAAUCGUUCUGGCAUUGCGUGCUCCUAGCGCUGUCCAGGCUACUCAGCCUAAGAGUCGGAAGAGGAAACUGGCCAAGAGCGGUGACGGGGAGACUUCGCAGCGAGGUGGGUCGAGCCUAGCGUCGGGACUUCGCGGAAAGGUUUGUUUCUUGUUUGAAUUCUCGAUCGUCUGUCGUGCAUUCUUUUCAUGGACUUAGUCUUAAGAAAAUUUUUUUGUUCGCAGUUCAUAUCGUUGAUCGAUGGGAUGAUCAGCGAAUGUGGUUCUGAGACCAGUCGUCUUUCCGGGGAGUUGGUGGAGCUUCAGGGCAGAUGGUCCGAAACCGAGGCUAUGUUGACGGCUGUCGAGGACUCUCACUCUGCGAAAGUGUCGAAGCUCGAGGUUGCGAUAGGAGAGCUUGAGAGGGACCUCGGGAAGACGGCGAGUUCCUUGCUUAAGGAAAAGAAAACCAGGAAGGCCAAAUCCUCGGAGGUGCGUCGACUCCAGCGUCAGAUCGAGAGUGACGCUGGACUAGCGCGCCGCGGGAUCCAAGAGGCUACGGAUGCCCUUCGUGCGGAGUUUCAGGCUCGCUUGGCGAAGAUUUCUGCUUCCCUGGGUUCCCUCGAGCGUAUCCGGAGCAGGGAUUUCGCUUUGGCGACGAUUGAGGGCGGGAUGGCCGUGGUUCGGUCGCUCCAAAGUGAGACUCCCCCGACCUUGGAGGCCGAAGAGGCCCGACUGUCCGGCUGCAAGGGAGAUAUGGCGGCCGAGGAUGGCGAUUUCGAUCUCAUCCUGGCCGACCUAAAAUCCGCUUGCUUCCUUCCGACGUGUCCAGAAGACCCAGAGGGGAAAGAUCCGAUGGUCGGAGAGAACGGAAGCGACGCGGCUCCAGGCUCGGACGAGGCGGCGGGUGAAGAGGGAGCGUAAGUUCUGAGGGUGACUUGGGUUAGAUCUCUUGCGAGAGAUUUGUUUUUUUUUUUUAUGUCUUUAUGCUUCGGCCUUGAACGGCCUUGUUUGUAUUUCGGGACUGGCCGUGUGUGGCUUUGAAUCCCUGCCGCUCCGCGGCUUUAUGGUAUGAUAAUCGGAUAACGUUUUUUAUGAAUUUGUGAAUAGUGGGGAGGAAGGUGAUGAGUUGUCGUCUCAUAUCCUUCUUCGAUUGUGAAAUGUUUUAUUCGAGACCUGUUUCGAGAGUUCUUCCGCGAGAUGUGAACUCUGCGGGGGCGCUGAAGGUAUCGAACGUAAACAUAGAGGCGUGGUUUAAGAAUCUCUUAUCUUUCGAUAUCAUGCCUUUGAGAUGUUAGAGACCAGUGCGCUGGGUUUAGGGCAAGACCUAGGUUUACUUUCGGUUUAAGGAUUGUGCGGUGACUAACCGGCUAUCGUUUUUCCUGUCGCGAUUUCUUCCUGAUUCGUAUCGAUGUAAAGUCCGCGAAAAGUUCUCGGCUUAUACGACUUGUUUGAUACGAAUCGAGCAUCUCUCCGGAGACCGGAAGUGCUAGACCAAAAUUUCGGAUUUCUUUUAUAGCGCUAUUAUCCUUGUGUCGGAUGUAAGAGAGUCAUCUCCAUGAGAUGGCUAUGUCUGUUUAGGACGUUUGUGAGUUCGAUGUGAUCAGCAUCGGACUUGGUGGCGUGUGCCGUUGUUUUGAUUAAUUUGCGCAAAAUAAAUGUUAAUGUGUGCAUAUAUGUGUCUUUUUGCGGAGAUUUCGUUUGCUCGGAAGAAACCAAUUUUGAGGCAUCUUUUGCGACGUCUCGCGAUGCUAAAGGUUCGAUUCUCCCAAGCGGCCGACCAAUUUCCGAAGACCUCGUUGCGAUUUCGCGGGUGAGGAUGUUUUGAUAAGUCGAAAACACCAAAAGUGCGGUAAGAAGUUUUUCGAUUUUUUGGGAGUAUACGAGUAUACGUACCCACUCCCCCCUUUUUAAUAAGGGAGGACAGCUGAAUUUGCCUUUCGGCAAACUGCCUACGUACUCCUUGCGGAGAUCAAGCCGUCUCGUAGUUCAGUGAUUGCGAGUUGGUUCGUUUAGUGAUAGUAUUUUUUGAGAUGCAUCGCAUUCCAGGUUCUAGGGAUUUUUAUGCCCUGCAUGUUGGCUAUUUCGUAAGAACCUGGUCGGACGACUUUUUCGAUUUUAUAGGGACCUUCCCAGUUUGCUCCGAGUUUUCCCGCGUUUCGUUCAGCGGUGUUUUGGAAGACUUUGCGAAGGACCAGAUCUCCCUGAUUGAACCUUCGGUUCCGUACGUUGGAGUUAUAGUAUCUCGCAGCGGCGUGCUGGUAGUUUUGAAUUCGGAUGAGCGCUCGAUCCCGGCGUUCGUUAAUGAGGUCGAGAUCGUCCAAGAGCAUAGCAUUGUUGAGUUCCUCUCGUUCGGGUAAGAACCUUCUUCGAACACCGGGAAAUUCUACUUCUGCGGGAAUCAUGCACUCCGCGCCGUAUACCAAGGCGAAGGGAGUUUCUCCCGUUGCUCGCCUUGGGGUGGUACGGUGAGACCAGAGGACUCCCUCGAGUUCGUCGGCCCAUCUACCUUUUUUGGCCUCCAAGCGUUUCUUCAGUCCGUCGAGAAUGGUCUUGUUGAUUGUUUCAGCCUGUCCGUUGCACUGCGGAUAUCUGGGAGUUGACUUGUUGAGUCGUAUCUUCCACUUUUCGCAGAAUGCCUCGAAUCGGGUGGAAAUAAAUUGAGACCCGUUAUCGGUUACGAUUUCGUAAGGAACUCCAUGCCUACAGAUGAUGUUUUUCCAUACGAAAUUCUCGACUUGGACGUCUUUUAUACUCGCGUACGAGUCCGCCUCUACCCAUUUUGAGAAGAAAUCGGUAAGGACUAGAAGGAAACGCUUUUGCUUUGAAUUAUGCAGAGGUCCGACAAUAUCCAUGGCCCAGCGCAUAAAGGGAUAAGGCGACGUGAUGGAGGAAAGAACUUCGGCGGGUUGUCGGAUAGUUGGCGCAUGCCUUUGGCAUUUUUCGCAUUUUCGUGCGAAUUUUUCGCAAUCUCCGAUCAUUGUUGGCCAAUAGUACCCGUGGCGUUUGAUUUUCACGGCUAGUGAUCUUCCGCCGGAAUGGUUGCCGCAUGAGCCGGAAUGUAUUUCCUCCAUUACUUUCCUCGCCUUUUCUCCUUCCAGGCACGUCAGGAGCGGUCCGGAGAAUCUCCACUUGUAGAUUUCGCCGUCCACUGUUACGUAGCGUGCGGCCUGUGUUCGGAUCUUGCGAGCUGACCAUUUUUCGGCGGGCAGUUGCCCGUCGAUAAUGUAGUCUCGAAUCGUCUGAAGCCAUGGGGUAUCACAACCGUAAUCGGAUUGCUCCGAUGGUGGUGGUAUCGUAAUCUCUUCUUCCUCGUCGUCUUGACCCUCUAUGAGAUUGACAAUGACUGGGGGUCCGAUACUCGGAUGUUCGAUGAACUCGACCGGAAUUACCCUUUUGAGUCCUGGAUCGGAACUUGAUGCUAAGGCCGCGAGGGCGUCCGCCUGGACAUUCUCGGAACGGGGGAUCCGGGUAAGGGCGAAACAGUCGAAGUCUUGAGCUAGACCUUGGACCAGUUUGAGGUACGCGUCCAUCCGUUCGUCUCUGGCUUCAUAUUCUCCGCUGAAUUGACUGGCCACUAACUGGGAGUCGCAGUAAGCGUGGAGAUUGCGUAUUUUUAAGCCGCGAGCCAAACGUAGACCUGCGAUCAAUGCUUCGUAUUCGGCCUCGUUGUUUGAGGCAUGGAAUUCCAGUCUGAACGAUUGUUCCAGGAUCUCGCUUGUUGGAGAUGUGAGACGGAUCCCGAUACCCGAUCCUUGCUUGGAUGAAGAUCCGUCGACGUGGAGGAGCCAGGUGGAAUUUGGUUCCUCGUUGGUUAUUGCUCCCGUUGGAAGUUCGACCAAAAAGUCCGCGAGCACCUGUGAUUUUGCACUCGUCCUUGGUCGGUAUUCGAUGUCAUACUCGCUCAACUCGACCGCCCACUUUGCCAAUCGGCCUGAUUGACUUGGGCUAUGCAAAAUUGUCCGUAAGGGAAAAGUCGUGAGGAUAACAAUCGUGUGGGAUUGGAAAUAUGGUCGUAGUUUUCGGGCCGAUGUUACGACCGCGCAUGCCAAUUUUUCCAUCAACGGAUACCUAGAUUCGGCAUCCAGCAAGGUUUUGCUUAUGUAAAAAAUAGGUUUCUGCUCCCCGCGUUCUUCCCUGAUCAGGACUCCGCUUACGGCUGUUGCCGAUACCGCGAUGUACAAGAACAAAGGCUCUCCUUCCACGGGUUUUGCGAGGACUGGAGGAGUAGCUAAAUAACGCUUCAGCUGUUGGAAGGCGUUUUCGCACUCUUCCGUCCAUUCGAAUUUUUUAUUUCCUCGCAGGACGUCGUAGAAGGGCAGGCACUUAUCUGUUGAUCGUGAGAUAAAUCGGUUAAGUGCUGCGAUUCUGCCGGUCAGUCUUUGGACUUCCCGUUUAUUCUUCGGCGAAGCCAUCUCGAUUAGAGCGUUGAUCUGUUUUGGAUUUGCUUCGAUACCGCGGUUGGUGACCAAGUAGCCGAGGAAUUCUCCUGAUGCCACGGCGAAUCUGCAUUUCGUCGGGUUGAGCUUCAUGUUAUGGGAGUUUAGUUGUGCGAAGCAUUCUUCGAGAUGUGACACGUGAUCCCUUGCUUUGAGGGAUUUGACAAGCAUGUCGUCGAUAUAAACUUCCAUCGUUUUUCCGAGUUGUUUGGAGAACAUUCGGUUCACGAGUCGUUGGUAAGUUGCUCCAGCGUUUUUGAGGCCGAAGGGCAUUACCUCAUAGCAAUAGGUUCCGCGAUCGGUAAUGAACGCAGUCUUCUCACGAUCGUCGGGAUUCAUCCUAAUUUGAUUAUAGCCUGAGAAAGCGUCCAUGAAGGAUAGGAGUUCGUUGCCCGCCGUUGCUUCUACCAAUCGAUCGAUAUGUGGUAGAGGGAAGCUAUCCUUUGGACAUGCCUUGUUUAGGUCGGUAAAAUCUACGCAAACUCGCCACUUCCCGUUUUUCUUUUUGACUACUACGGGGUUGGCGAGCCAGUCGGGGUAUCUUACUUCCGUUAUCGACCCAACUUUAAGCAGUUUUUCGACCUCAUCGUUUACUGCGGUAGCACGUUCGGGUCCCAGCUUCCGUCUUUUCUGUUUGACGGGUUUGAAUGUUGGGUCGAUGUUCAGCUCGUGACAUGUUAUGUUAAUGUCGAUUCCUGGCAUAUCUUCCGCAGCCCACGCGAAAGUAUUAAGGUUCUUUUUUAGACAGGUUAUGAGUUCUGUCUUUAAAGGCUCGUGGAGAUUGGCUCCGAUCUCGACGCAGCGUUCUGGGAAGGCUUCGUCGAGACAGAUCGUUACCACGGGUUCACAAGUUGGCUCGCGUUUUUCAUCUAGAGCUGCGAAGAUACGAGAUUGCCAGAAGAAUUCCGCUGAAUCCUGACUUCGCGUAUCUUUGCUGGAGGUCUCUUUCUCCGCUUUCUUAGGAGUAAUUUCGAGGAUCGGUCUCUUUCGUUUUAGUUCCGCGGCGAAACAGACCUGAGAAACUCUUGGAUUUCCCCAGAUUACCUCGACUCCGUUAGGGGUCGGGAACUUGAGGCAAAGAUGGUAGGUUGAUGGGAUUGCGCGCAUGGUGUUCAGCCAUGGCGUCCCCAUGAUAACGUUGUAAGAUGCGGGGCGGUCGACGACUAGAAACUCUGUGAUGUUUGUCACGGUUCCGGCUUUGACAGCGAGUCUAAUCGAUCCGUAGGCCAUGGUCGUUUCCCCCGAAAGCCCUAGCAGUGGGCUUGGGCAUUUUGCGAUCUCGGAUUGACUGAUCCCCAUCUUUUCAAGAGUGUCUUUGAAGAUGAUAUCGGCCGAGCAUCCGGUAUCGAUUAGUACUCUAGCAACGUCGAUAUCUCGAAUUGUCAACUCGAUAACAAGGAGAUCGUUCCGAGGUUUGGCUCGAUCGACCGUUUCUCCCCCCCCUGAAUGAGAUGACAUUCGCGCACGUCGAACCUCGCAUGUCUGUCCUGAUCGUUGAGUGGUUUUUGCGGGUUAGAUUGAUCCGUAAGUCCCCCUCCUUCUAGCGCCAAACUGUGGGAACCGAAAUUCGCACUGUCGAUUUCCGUUUAAAUAAGGAAACUAAGAAAACCCUAGUUUCCCAGAGGACCCGGAUAUCUGUUAAUUACCACACGUCAAGCAAUCAGAACACGAGAAUAACAACGAUAAAAAUAAGAAAUCGAAAAGAGAGCAAAGUAGAUCUUAUUCCGAAUCUGCGUAUGAGCGUUACAACAAGGUAUAAGCCUGGGCUCGAGAGCUGUCGGCGAGAUUCCUAGUUCUAGCAACCCUAAGACGGCUAAACCUAAUUGAGUCGCAGCUCGAAAUAACAAAAACGGAAAGUUGCCUAAAUCGCUCUAAGUGCUAAGUUUGCUCUGAAAAAGUUCUCUUUGUGCUCCUCGCCUAGGACUCCUUAUAUACUAGCUCCAAGGUCGGUUUACGCUUUUACUCUUCUGCCCUUAAGCCGUCAUAGCAUAAAAACGGAGAUAUUCCAUUUUUCCCGAUCUUCACAAUUAUCUUCAAAACUUCCGUAUUUAUCCGCGGAAACUUGACAUUUAUCCUUCCUUCGCGGGCCAAGCGCGAACCAUGCUGUGGUUCACGGGCUUUUGGUUAGGAAAAAUCGUAGGAUGGGCCUCGAGUCGUGUUUUAGGUCCCUUUGGGCCGUCUUCCGACUCGACACGUUUACUACGAGUUUUCCGCGGUUUCUAAUCCGCGAAGUUUGAUCGAUGAAUUAGAAUGCGGGAAACAUAGACUGAGCUUGCUACGGUCUUCGGGAGAUAGCAUUCGAAGGUUUGACGAGAAUGCAAGGACUGGUGUCGUAUCGAUGUUCGGAAAGGUUCAAUCGCUACACAGCGACCGAACUUUGGCUCGAGCCCGGUCGCUAUGUAGCGACCGAGCGAAACGAGUGCUCGGUCGCUACGUAGCGACCGAGCUUCGGCUUGAGCUCGGUCGCUACGUAGCGACCGAGCGGGACGAUCGCUCGGUCGCUACGUAGCGACCGAGCUUUGGCCGAGCUCGGUCGCUACGUAGCGACCGAGCGGGACGAUCGCUCGGUCGCUACGUAGCGACCGAGCUUUGGCUCGAGCUCGGUCGCUACGUAGCGACCGAGCGGGACGAUCGCUCGGUCGCUACGUAGCGACCGAGCUUGGCUGAGCUCGGUCGCUACGUAGCGACCGAGCGGGACGAUCGCUCGGUCGCUACGUAGCGACCGAGCUUUGGCUCGAGCUCGGUCGCUACGUAGCGACCGAGCGGGACGAUCGCUCGGUCGCUACGUAGCGACCGAGCUUGGCUGAGCUCGGUCGCUACGUAGCGACCGAGCGGGACGAUCGCUCGGUCGCUACGUAGCGACCGAGCUUUGGCUCGAGCUCGGUCGCUACGUAGCGACCGAGCGGGACGAUCGCUCGGUCGCUACGUAGCGACCGAGCGGGACGAUCGCUCGGUCGCUACGUAGCGACCGAGCUUUGGCUCGAGCUCGGUCGCUACGUAGCGACCGAGCGGGACGAGCGCUCGGUCGCUACGUAGUGACCGAGCGGGACGGACGUUCAAUCGCUGCGUAACGACCUGUUUCGAUCUUUCGUCGGACGUCUCGAUUCUGUCUUCGCCAAGCUUUUUCGUAAGGAAGAAUCUAUUUCGAAAAGUACUCUUCGGAGAAACUCUUAUUUUCUUCCUCGAACGUUUUGAAUGUUUAAAUUUGUCGUAACCGUUUUUGACCCCAACAGUCUGAUCCCCAUAACCUCAUAUACUUCACAGACGAGUGGAGAAACUUCUCAUGCUAGUCUGCAUUUCCUACUGCUCUGUCUAAGCGACAUCGAACAGUUGAUCCGCCUGCUCGCUUCCCAACCCAAGAGAGCAUGUCCCCCGAGAAAGGAAACUCUAACAUCCCACAAUCAUUAAGCAUUUGCUUAAAAGGAAGGAAUGAAAUAUCAGGACGUUGUCUUCCUCCUUCUUUCUCAAUAUGUCAUGUGAUUUCAUUAAAAUCUCCUAUCAUGAACCAAGGUUCACUUGUUGUUGAGAAACGCGUAAGACGUUCCCAAACUUGAUCUCGUCUUUCUAGUAUAGGGUCCCCAUAAACAAACGUCAUAUAGACUUUUAUUCCAUCAAUGAUGGCCUCAAUGUCAAUCAUACGAUUAUUUGAAAAUAAAACAUUAACUUGAAAUUCAUCCAUAAAAAAUAAAGGUAAACCUCCGCUGAGUCCAAGUGGCUCAACAGUAAACAAAUGAUCAAAUCCUAAGUCGGUAUGAAUGUUUUGCAACAGCAGCCUUCUGUUCUUCGUCUCAGAAAAGAACACAAGUCCUGGGUGAUGCUUCUGACACAUCUCCGUAAGGCGUCGAACUGUGAGGUCGUUCCCAAUCUCUCGACAGUUCCAACUAAGUGUCUUCAUGGAUGAUGUCUGGAGGUGUUUUUGGACCCCUCCAAACCAGAAACGUUGCAUGAACUGUCCCUAUGAAUCUUUUUCUGUCCAGAACGAUGAGUUUCUGAACGUUGUACGUCUCGAGAAGAUGAUCUACGAAGCUUCAGAGAUCCCCGACGUAGGAACUCUGCUUUCUUUUUUGGUAGACCGAGAGGGAUGCCAGCCCUACCUCUUAUUUUGCGUGAAGACGUAGCUAUAGGUUUCCAUUUCUUAGCCUCAACACCCUUCGCACCAACUACUGACGCGUCCUUUGUGGCUUCAACGUCCAUGUCCAUAAGUUCAUCCCCCAACAAGUCAUCAUCAUGAUCCACAACCAUCAAAGAAUCCUUGCGAUCCCCAUCCUCCAUAUUACUUGUGCCAAUGAGCUCCAUGUCAUUUAAAGCCCCUAUUAUCUGAGCAUCAUCAAGCUGGUCUUUCUCCUUAGGAGAGAAAGACAAUAAUCGAACUGCUUCUCUGUCUCUUUUAGUAACAUUUUCAUCACGGCCCUGUCGAGACGGAGUUACUAUCGCACGUGCAAUCUUUUUUCUGCUACUGCGAUCCUCUAUGCUUAUAUCAGCUGACCUUUUAGGAGACGGACUGUCAGUUUGCCUUGAGUUCGUUCCAUGAACAUGAGGCUCACAGCUUAUCAUCUCCAGGCCCAGACGUUUCUCCAUAUUCUCCUUAGCCUUCCAUGUUUGGGUUUGUUGUUUCUGAUAAGGCGCAUACCUCUUGUUGCUACGUGAGAAACUCGAGUUGUAUCUGCUCUCUUUGCCUCCUAGCUUUCUCGAUAAGCUUUCAUUGUAAGCCACAGAACGAUGAUAACCAGCCCUAGCAUCAUUCAUGAAGCCACCGUCAUGUCUCUGUUUCCUCUGAGGUGAAAUACUUCGACGGCUCCCCUUACCGUAACGAUCAGAACGUGAAUAGGUCUUGUAUCUGUCAUAUGGUUUCUGGUCUCGCAGCAACGACUUUCGAGAUGUUGUGACAGUAGGUAGCUGAACCCGUUCAAAGACACCAGUUCACCCAACACGAUCUUUUCCAACUGGAAACUUCAUCGGGCCAUAAGCCACUUCAUGAGUCAACAUCCCACAAGAUGAGCAAUGUUUAAAGAGCUUAUCGUAAUGAAUUUGAAUCGAGACCUCCUCUCCUCCAGGUGAAGCUAUCUUCCGUGUGAAUGUAAGCGGUUUCCUAGUGUCAACGUCAAUUAGCAUGCGUCCUGCCGAGAGUUCGACAGUGUCAAUAUGACCAAGCCUACCACCAAUGUUCCUUAGAUUUUUGAUUGUCCAUAAAUGUAAUGGAAUGCCUGUAAUCUCAACCCAGAAAGGGAUGAUCCAAGGGUAAUCGUCGUGAACAACCGGUUCCCAACGAACAAGCACGAACAUACAGAAAUGUAGUGAAAAGGUCCUUGAAGAAAGACCGACUAGAGAUCAUCUUCAUUCAUAAAUUUUAAUAGAAACUUCCCACUUCCAAGGUCAUUAGCUGUGAUCCUAUCUUGCAUCUUCCACUGCGCCGACAUGGUUUGGAUCAGCUUGACCACGGAUUGUUUCUUAGGGUUUAAGAUCUUCCCGAUCAAUGACAUACGAUAAUCCUUAAUGGUAGGAGAAUCAUCUUCAUCCAUGUUUAUUUAUGAGGCAGGGAGCUACAGAUUUAUAUAUAGCUUAUAACUAAACCCUACUCAAACUCAAGUCACCAAGCCCUCCAUUAUUGCCGGCUCAGAUGGUACUCACGCAACACUUCUCAGUAAGAUCUGUUAGGAUCUUUUAAUCCAAAACCAACAAAGCUGCUCUUUCCACUUGACUGUGAACGGCCUGAACUAAAACCUGAUGAACGAUUGAACCUCUUGAACAAAAGCCCCUAUAACUGGAAGAACGGUCUGAAUAACCAGAAUAACGGUUGUCUGAUCCUCCUAAACGAUCACCACUAUAUCUACCAUUACCACCACCAUCAUAACCACCUGAACAACAAUGAAUUUUCCUCCUUUACCAUGAGCCUGAAACGGAAAAAGUGUACUAUAAAACCUUGCAAUACAUAAACAUGACUGAUAAAUAGCAAGAAAAAUCACAGCAAGAAGUAAUAUAUUCCUAUGAUGCACGGGACGGAUACCGGUACAGAAACGGGACGGAAGUGGGGAUGGGAAACGGCAAAACUAAAAAAUUAUGAUACGGGUACGGCAUAGAUACAUUUAUAAAAGUAAUAUAUAUAUAUAUAUAUAUAUAUAUAUAUGAUUGCUGCCGUAUACAUAGCAUUUGUGAAUUCGCUAUCAAACAUCUACCGUAACAUAUUCUCGCGCUAACAAUGUCCAUAUAUUUCUUGUAGUGAAAUUUUAGUUUGGAUUGAUAUAUGGACUGCUAUAAGAAAAAUCAUCGCAUAAACUUCACCAGAUAUUUAACAGAAAUAGAAUAUUCAAACGCAAUAGUUCCAAUCCAAAGUCAUCAUUAUGGUUUCAUUUCUGAAUUCUUACCUUCGGCAAUAAAUUCGAUGUAGAGAAUCAUUUAAUGCCUUCAAUUUCAACAAUAUAUAUUAUUAGUCAAAAGUGAUGAAAGAAAACGUAACGGCGGUGCUAAAAAGCUCAUGUUGUUAAGUCCUAACUUACGGAUACGUCCCCACGCCAUCUCGUCUCAGCACCGUCCCCAUGCCGUUACCGUUUCAGAAACGUUUCCAGUACCGGGACGUCACUCAAACUCACGUCCCCGUGCAUCAUCAAUUAAGAUUCCAAAAUUUAAACAUGCAAUCGAUUUAUUUAUGAUAACAAAAACUCGGAUAGCACAGAUUAAAGACUCACAUAUUAGAGUAGCAUGCAACUGAAUCCGGAUGUGACUGAGGUGAAAUCGAUUUCGUGUUUGUCGAGAAACACAGAGACGAAGAUGAGUUACCGUGGAAUAUGCUGGAGAGAAAGUUGAGUGCGGUAGAGGUGACGGAGACGAAGCUGGCUGUGACGGAAAAGGGACUGUCGAAGAUGGAGGUGACGAGACGACAAGAAAAGCGUUUCCUAGCUCUGGUGUUCGACCUUUUUAAAAAAAAUAUUAAAAUAUGUUUCUUUUUUAAUUAGGAUUUAAUUAUUAGUAAUGGCAAAAUAGUCAAUUUGUAUGUUUCAAAAAUUAGUCUAUUAAUUUCAAAAUUAUGAGUUAAUCUAGUUAUUUUAUGAUUAAUUAGAGCCAUUUUAAGUAAUUUCUCAUUUAUAAAUUCAUCAUAUUCUAAAGCUAGAUUUGACCAUUCUUCUUUAUAUUCGAUUAGUUUGACCAGUUGAAGACCAAAUAAUCAUAAGGAUAAAUACAUUUUUCAUCACCCAUAUCAGAGUUUUAAGUUUAAGACGAGGGUGAAUCGAUCUGGUCCAAAAGAACCAAAGAAAUUACUGUCCGUCUUCCAGCUCUAUGACUAUAACUAUACCUCCAUGAAAAAACUACUCUUCGAUCGUUCAAAAUGCAUCCAUUGAGAUCUUGGUUUCAGCGAAGCAAAACAUUUUCAUUAGGGACAAGUGGUUCUCAUUUGAUCCUAUUUCCAAAACACUUGCAAAACUUCUCAUUCUUAUGAUUCAUAAAUAGAGAGUUGCGUUGUCGUAUAUCUAUUAAUAAAAUUUUCUGGUUGAAAAUUUCAGAUGGGAUAGCCGAGAUCACCGAGUUUGCAAGACUGGCUUACAUUGGAGAGAGCAUCCAGAAUCAACUUUUAGUGUAUUCACAUAUACGACUUAAUUAAAGCACAAAUAGGAAUUGGGUUUGAAAUUACCCUUUUCUUUAGCUCAGAAUGCUAAAAUAUUAACCAUGAUCUUUUGAUAACCAAAUUCUUGAAAUUGUCAGGCUGUUUCUUACCUUAUUAGUUGAAAGUUGAACUGCUUUGAUUUCUUCAGCUCAGAAUGCUAAAAUAUUGCAAGGUAUCAAUAUACAUAAACUACGUUAGUUGUAACGGUACAGAAUCAAGGUGAAAGUGAUGCUUGACUGGGGCCCCAAGGGAAAAUUUGGACCGCCGUUGCCUGCUGUUAUGAUCAUCUAUGCUCCAAAAGAAGCUUCACUAACCGCCACAGAUUACCCUGAAAUCCCAGUGGCUUGAAGAGGCCUUUUUGCGUGUUUGGUUACGUGACGAAUUUUAUUUUCUCAUAUUAUUCUAAUAUAUUAUAAGUUCUGGAGAUAAAAAUAUAAUCUUGAGACCAACGGGAAAUUGUCAAAUAUAAGAUAGAAGAAGAAUGCAAGAGUUCAUUAUAACAUGAAUUGACAAAUCAUUACCAUACUAUAAUGACAGACAGAUAUCUCUCGUCCUUAGCCUCUCUUAACAGGAUCAAAGUUGGAGACACCAACAACCACACCGAUGAUGACCGUGAGCACCACUCCUCCCGCGGCAAUGCUAAGCAAGAAGUUCUUGAGAGAGGGAGAGAUUCCUGAGCCUGCGGCUUCAGCCACCUCAGGGAUCACCAUUGAAACGGUGAGAGCUGCUGCUGCUAAGCCGCUCACAGCCUUCUCCAUCUUCAGGUUAGAUGCAUUCACUUGAAACCUCCGUGAAGGCAUGGCUAAGGAGGAGGAUGACGCCUUAGAUGGCUUCAAAGGCAAUAGUGGCUUGCGUAAGGCUACAGUUUUGGUCGACGACGGCGAUCGGUUUUGGGUGAGUGGCAUGAACAAUGACACGGCGGAGGUAGAAGCCAUCUCUUUUUCUCUCCUCUUCUUUCUUUUCGAGUUUGUUUGGCAAUGUGAGUUUGGUCUAUGAGAAGAAACAUAAGAUAUGGGGUCAUAUGAGGAGUGGGAGAUAUGUGUCUUACGUGGCAGUUUCUGAGCUUGGAA
rnacentral:lncRNA from 1 species